CCUCAUUUGCAACCAUUACCAACUUUAUCGAGUCGGACACAUUGUUCUUCGUAUAUGAUCCAUCUUCUUCGUUUUUCGGGACUUCUAUGCCAACCUGCUUGUCAGCAAUGAUUCUAGCAUUCAAACCUUGAUCAGCCAGAAAAGGUAAGGCAAUUAAUGGAUGACCAAAAGAGAGUCCCUCUAUGAAAGAACUCCAACCACAGUGAGUCAAGAAUGCACCCACCGAGUCAUGACUCAAUAUCUUCAGCUGAGGUGCCCAACUUUUCCACACCAUACCCCGACCCUUGACUCUCUCCUCGAACCCGUCUGGUAAAAUCUCUGAGUAGGAAUCGUCUGACCCAGAUGGCUUCCUCAGUGCCCAAAAGAAGGGAACAUCGGAUAACUCCAAUCCAAGAGCUAACUCAUAGAUUUGAUCUUGACUCGGAGUCACCUCGCUCCCUAAUGCUACGUAAACAACUGACUGUAUAUUUUGAUCAUCAAGCCAAGUUUUGAUUGAAACCCAUGAUUGACUGUCAUCUUCUUCCACUUGGGGUGGCAUUAAACCUACUGGAAUAACUGGCUUAUGGUGAAGCUCUUCAAGUAAUUUCAACCAAUCCGGUUCAAACUCGUUGCAGUGUCUUAUGAAUAUAACCUCGGACCCAUGAAUUACGUUACCUCCUCGAUAAAUAUCUGAAACUCCUGAGUCAUUCUUUUGAUUUGAUGCGACGAUCCAGUUUGCUUCGUAUCUUCGAUAAGCCACUUUUGUCUCAAAUCGGACCCACUUUGGUGGAAUCAUAAACUCUUCAGCUUUUUUCCUUUCAUCAGAACCGUUAAUCAAGAUCUCAGAUGGUCCAAAGAAAGCUAAAAACCAUGCGUUAAUUAUCAUAAAAAAGGCACGAGAAAUUUCAAGUCUUGCUGCAACUGGAGGUAACCAGUGUGGAGCAAAAUCGUAGAGAACCCAAUCUGGAAGUGAGUUUUCCAAGAAACGAGUCAACUCAGUUUCCAUCCCAUCAAAUGCUUUCUUCAAAUAGGGUAUAUCUUCAUUCCUGAUAUCCAUGGUUGCCUCUGCAGAUUCAGGGAGUCCUUCAACUUUAGGCAGUGGAAUCUUAACUAGGGUUAUGGAAGAAACUAAAUGAGAAGGGAUUUUUGGGAGACGAUCAAUAUUUCUUGGAGUGGAAACAAAUGAGAUUUUGUGACCCUUUUGAGCUAUGAAUUUGGAGAGCUCAAAGAAUGGAAUAAUAUGACCAAAAGCCAACCAUGGGAACAUCACUACAUGUAAUUUGGAAUUGUUAGCCAUGGAUCUUAGAUUCCAGUGUUGCAGAAAUUUUCACUGACCUAUCAUCCAAUUUAUAAAGGGACAUCUAAGCAGACCGCACGUAUUAUUAUAUUAUUAUUAUAUAUUCCAGGAAUAAACUGGAGAAUCAUUGGUUUUGUGAUUUAAUUGAUUUAUGAAUUUAGCCCCCGUUUAGAGCUUGUUUUAUCCAAAAUCUCAUUAAUCUAAAGUGAAAAACUAAUAAAAAAAUAGUUGAAUCUAUUUUGUCAGACAUUAAUUUGCCUUUAUUGGACAAUUGGAAAUCGGCUGGAUGCAUUUACCUAUAAUAACGUGUCAAUGGCAAAUUUGGACAACGAAGUCCAUAUAAAAGUCGAAAAUGGUAGCGGUCUUGGUUGGAAUGGUGCAACAAUUUCAUUUGUUUUUUGUUUAAAUGAUGAAAGAGAUGACAUUGACACUUGAUAACGAUGCCUUAUAUUUAAAAUUAUUUUUGGUGUACAUAAUAGAGUUUCACAAAAUCCCUAUCAACUACUUACAAUAGGUGAGUUAAUGAUGAAAAAGAUAAUAUUGACACUUGAUAAUGAUGCUUUAUAUUUAGAAUUACUCUCGCUGUAUAGGAUUAUCCACAUGUUGUGAGUAGUUGAUAGGAACCUCUUCCUGUACAUCGAGAAUAAUUGUUAUAUUUAUUGCUAUAAAACUUAAGAGAUAUUGUAAAAUAUGGAGACAAAUGGGACAAAAGAAGUCUCGUGUGCCCUUGUUGGCUCCCAGGUUCCCACAACUCAUUUGGACUCUUUCCACAAAGAGAGCUCCCCUCACAACGAUGCUUUAUAUUUAAAAUUAUUUUUGGUGUACAUAAUAGAGUUUCACAAAAUCCCUAUCGACUACUUACAAUAGGUGAGUUAAUGAUGAAAAAGAUAAUAUUGACACUUGAUAAUGAUGCUUUAUAUUUAGAAUUACUCUCGAUGUAUAGGAUUAUCCACAUGUUGUGAGUAGUCGAUAGGAACCUCUUCCUGUACACCGAGAAUAAUUGUUAUAUUUAUUGCUAUAAAACUUAAGAGAUAUUGUAAAAUAUGGAGACAAAUGGGACAAAAGAAGUCUCGUGUUAGACCCGACUUCUCUUAAGUAAAUGGCGUUUCAUUUUUGUACGCGUCUCAAAAUCUACAAAAGAUUAUUAGACUAUUAGUAUUUUGCAUGUUCUGGCAGAUGAUAUUUAAAUUAGUUCUAAAGCUUUGUUUAAAGGAGUAGGAAAGACAAAGAUAAACACACCCAAUUGCCCAAGCUAGGUACACUUUGAUUUGAAAAUAUAACAAGAUUCCAAAUUAAAAGCACAAUUUUGGCGAGAUAUUAAAUUUGAACUCGAUUGAUCGCUCUACAUAAAACUUGAUAAAUAUAUUAUUAUUAUUAUUCGAUUCAUUCAAACAUAAAUGGACAAAUAUAUAAUUGAAUCAACAUUGACUCAUCAAAUCGAGUGAACCGAUUGAUUUAAACCAACAGAUUUUGAAAACAAAAAAGCCGUAAGUACAGGCUCAAAACCAGCCCUGAAUACAAGGGAAGCUGCCUGGUUUUGAACCUGGCCAAAAAGCAGGGUUAUUUUGAAAAUUUACAAAAUAGAAGCGCAAAUAUUUGAACCAAUCACAUCAGGUAUGCAAGAGUCAUACUUUUCAACUCGAAUACCCCCAUUAUUUAAUAGAAUUAUCUCUUGUUUGAGCUCUAUUAUUUUCAUAAAAAUACAUUUUUGAAUAGUAUAUUAAUGAAAAAUGUAUAAUUAAAAAAUAAGAAUUUUUUUUGAAUUUACGUGUAAUAUUAUUUUAUUGAAGAAUAGAUAAUUGAAAUGGUGUUAAAACACCAUAAUAUAUACAUGGCAUAACAUCAUUGAAUGGUUGAAAAAUAGUGUAUAUUAUGUACAUUCUUAUGAAUAUCAUAAUGCACAUGUAACAUAACCCACAAAAUAUAUAUCACAUAAUUUUUAGAUAUUUUUCAAAGAUAUAUAUAUGAAAAAUAUGACAAACAAAAUUUUAAUGAUGAAUGGGAAAAAAGAAAAAAAGCGAAGUUAUAUGAAAAACUCAUAGUUAUAUCUAUGCUCCUUUUUUUGAAAAUAAAUAAAUGAAUAAAUCACCUUCAGACACUGCAAUAUUUCAUCAAUUGACAAGUUACCCACUAACCUAGUGCUUUGGCUAGAUUAAUGAUCAGAUUGGAUAUGAUAAUUAUUGGCCAUUUCCAGCAUUGCAUCAAAAUUUGCACCAAAUCAAAAUUCAUCUCCAAUCAUUAUAUCAAAAUUUACACCGAAUGAAUAGUAUUUUAUUAUUUUAUUCAUUCUUUCAAUUUUUGACAAUGUACUUAUUUAAAAAAUGUAUUUAUUUAUUUAUUUUAUAAUUAUAUAAAUUAUUAAAUCAUAAAAUCGUUAAUUUAACAAAUAUAUUAAAUUAUUAUUGAUUACUAAAUUAUUCACAUGUUUUAUAUAUCAUGUUAAAUUGACGAAAAUAAUUGAUUAUAUUAUUAAUUUAUUAUAAACAAUUACGUUAAAUUUACAAAAAAUAAUUACUAAAUUAUACAAUCCAUAAUUAUUAUUAUUUAUAUUAUUAAAUAAUAAACUUUAAUAAUGCAAUUAAUUAUUAUUGUUAUUAUAGAACGAAAAUGACACAAAUAUCUUUAACCAUUAAUUUUGAAAAAUGAAAAAGAAGGGCAAAACGAACAUUGUAUCAUUUGGGGCAAAAAAUGGUGCAAUGAAUAGUAUUGUACUAUUUUGCAACAAAAUGGUGCAAUAGGGCACCCAUUGGAGAUGACCUUAGAAGUUAGAACUACAAAAUGUGUUGAUCUAUUUUGGCUACCACGUUGCUGUCUCAAUCAUUUUUUUUUUCCUUUCUUUAUUCCGAUGUAUUCAAAAUGGAUGUCUCACUCAAUGACUUGUGGCCCCAUUUUUUUGUCAUUUUCAAAGCAGCGUGCCCUUUUGGUAAUGGGUUGAGGGUACUUGUGUAAUUUUAAUUGACCAAAGCAGGGUAUUUUUGGCAUUCACUUUUCAAUGAGCAUUUUGCUUUUCGUGUUCAUCUCACAAAUAUAUUGACAAAUCUAAAAUUUUUAAUUCAUUAUCAUCGUGGGAAAAUGUUUUUUGGUUUAGUAUUCUCAAUUUAUUGAGAAUCAAAUAGGGGAUUAACUUGUGAAUACCACAUUUUUGAAAAAUAAAAUAAAAUAAAAAAAGAUAUAGAGAGAGAGAAAUGUUUGAUCAUAUUUUUCUAUCAUUUUCUUUGUCUUUAAUAAACACAAUAAUAUUCCACUGAAUUUUCAUUGAAGUUAUACAAUAAAAUUAUUUCUAUCUGAGCAUGAGCUAAUGUAGUUAUUGAUACAUAUGGAUCUACUAGUCUUAUGCCCGUGCAAUGCAAGGGUCAUGUUAUUUUUAAGGUAAUAUUAAAUUGACAAAUAUAUUGAAUUAUUACUAAUUACUAAAUUAUUCACAUAUUUUAUAUAUUAUGUUAAAUUGACAAAAAUAAUUGAUUAUAUUAUUUAUUUAUUAUAAACAAUUACGCUAAAUUUACAAAAAUAAUUACUAAAUUAUAAAAUCCAUAAUUAUUAUUAAAUAAUAAACUUUAAUAAUGCAAUUAAUUAUUAUUAUUAUUAUUAUAGAACAAAAAUGACAAAAACAUUUUUAACCAUUAUUUUUGAAAAAUGAAAGAGAAGGCCAAAAUGAACAUUGCAUCAUUUGAUGCAAAAAAAUGGUGCAGUAAACAGUGUUAUACCAUUUUGCACCAAAAUGGUGCAAUAGGACACCCAUUGGAGACGGUUUUAAAAGUUAGAACUACAAAAUGUGUUGAUCUCUUUUGGCUACCACGUUGUUGUCUCAAUCAUUUUUUUUUUCCUUUCUUUAUUUUUAUUUUUGAGGUUUCAUGGACCAUUAAUUUGUCUCAUUGAGCUCCAAUGUAUUCAAAAUGGAUGUCUCACUCAAUGACUUAUGGCCCCAUUUUUAUGUCAUUUUCAAAGAAGCCUGCCCUUUUGGUAGUGGGUUGAGGGUACUUGUGUAAUUUUAGUUGACCAAAGCAGGGUAUUUUUGGCAUUCACUUUUCAAUGAGCAUUUUGCUUUUCCUGUUCAUCUCACAAAUAUAUUGACAAAUCUAAAAUUUUUAAUUCAUCAACAUCGUGGGAAAAUGUUUUUUGGUCAAGUAUUCUCAUUUUAAUGAGAAUCAAAUAGGGGCUUAACUUGUGGAUACCACAUUUUUGAAAGAGAGAGAGAUGUUUGAUCAUAUUUUUCUAUCAUUUUCUUUGUCUUUAAUAAACACAAUAAUAUUCCAUUGAAUUUUCAUUGAAGUUAUACAAUAAAAUUAUUUCUAUCUGAGCAUGAGUUAAUGUAGUUAUUGAUACUUUUGGAUAUACUAGUCUUAUGCUCGUGCAAUGCAUAGACUGUGUUAUUUUUAACGUAAUGCUAGCGUGUCAAAUAUUAUUGGAAUUAUUCUGAAAGUUCCAUAAAUUUUCACCUAAAUCUUAGACACUUACUAAUCUUUAGUGUUUAGAAACACACUUGGUAAAUAAUUUUUUUGGCUCAGUUCACUCUAAAUAACAUAUUCCUAAAUGUUAUUGUGUCUGUAUGAGAUUCUUUUAGGGAUGAGGUUUUCAUGUGCAAAUGAAGGUACAUAUUUUAGUCACGAAAGUUGAUACAUAUAAAACCAAGCUAAUAUGAACAUGGAAUUGGAUGCACACACUAUCAAAAAAAGCGUUUGCCUAUUGAAAUAACUUUGUGCAUCCAACCAGUAUGGCAUGUAAAAUACUUAUGGAUAGAUUAGGUUCAUAUACUCGGAUGAUCAAUACAUCUAAAAUAGUAACCAAAUGCCAAAGGCAGGAAAUAAUGCUUUCUGUAGAAAAGAAAAUGUUUAUAAUAUCGAAGAUAUAUCUCCAAGGCGUGAUAGUGAAAUAAAAAAACUGGGAAGAAGAUAUCGAUGCUUUUAAACUAAUUUCAAUAACAAGAAAGUAGCUUGAAGCAAGUUGAACAACUAUAAGAAAUAAUAGCAAUUGAAUUUUCAUUUAAGAAAUGUUAAAAUAGACAUGCAAUCAUGCCGAAGUUUGCGGACCAAAAGGCUUGUAGGAAGGUCUCUUUUACGACUCCUGUAUCAGCUUCCUCUGCUUGGGCUUUGAUGCCUCUUCUUGUACUUUCUCAAUAUUGUCCGCCAUUACCACUUUCACUUAUGUUAUUUGAGCUUUAAAUUUGGACAGCUUGUUUCUUCUAGAUGGUUCAUAUAAUGAAGAUGAAAAUUCACUAAAUUGUCAUUAAUGAAUCUAUCUUUAAAAUCAAUCUGAUCAAAAAAAUUUCCAAAAUUUCUUCAUGGGAGCAACCUAGGCAAUAAAGCAGAUGGGGCCUAUAGGAGAAAAGAGAGCCAUAAAGUCUAAGAAACUGAAAUGAAAUUAUCUAUAAAGAACAACUUACCAUCUGCCCUUGCUUUGCAUUUUUUUUUUAUCUCCACAAUCAAUUUCUUUUCUUGUGCUUGUAAAUAGUCUUUUUCCUUCCAAUUUCUCGGAUGGGUUUAUCAAGCAUCCUCUUAUUCUACCGGAGCUCUGAAAAACAUAGUGUAGAAUUUGAAAUUAGAAAGUGGCUUACCUAGAAUAUUAAUAGAAUUAAUUAUGGUACAUAGAUUCUCAAAUAAUACCAAUUGUUGACCUCAAAAAGUGUUGCCAACAGAUGCAGGUCCCACCCGCGCACGCAUGGGCGAAUGUUCAACAUGCUAAGACACGUGGAUGGUCUAAAACGAGCGGUUCAAAGGGCGUGGGAGUAGCCCAACGACGCGGGAUGGUGACGUUCGGAAUCUGGCGGGUUGUUCGUGAUCCGAUUAUACAAUAAUUACCAACCGAUGUUCGUAAAUGUAUAUGUAAAUGUGUAUAAACUCGAUUUGUGUAUUGCAAGUAAAUGAGAGAGAGUUAAGUAAAGUGUAGUUCUUUGCAUUAAUUCCUGCAUUAGCCUUUUGGUGUUACACAAGGGAAGUAUUUAUAGUGAUAUAUGUGAAAUGAAAACCCUUGGAUGAGGUGGUACGUGGCCUCAUCUCUUUGAUUUAAACAUAUUAUCAGGCAUGAGGUUUGACUUGCUAGCUUGCAGCGCAUUUAUUGCUUGUGCAGAACCCCCAUACUAGUGACAAGACUUGACCUUUAUGCUUAUGACAAACGUUCCAUCAAUCAUUUGAAUAAGAUCUUUGUGCAGACGAUCUCUUGGGAGAAGUGACCAUGGAGGAUACUCCCUUGUAGUUCGGAGGCUCCUGCAUCAGCUUCGGGGCUUCGGCCAUUUCAUACAAUACUUCCACUUGAGGGCUUCAGCUAUCUUCAACCAGUUUCAGCAUCAUGGCUUUGGCUCAUAGGCCUCAGCAUGUGGACCUCAGUUACGUUCACAGGCCUCGGUAAAAAGGCGCCUCGGCUAGUGGACUUCGGCUUGAAGGGCUUCGGCCAUAGCCCACCUCGACAAUAUAUGCCACCUCGGUUGGAGUGCCACGUGGUUCGGCGUGAGUGGGCCAUUGGCCCAAGUAGGUUGGCCAAGUAUGACAACAUGCAACAAUAGUCCCCCAAGUCCAAGUAUGGUCAUUUCUGUAAUGCGCGGACUUUAAUGAAGUAAAAAUUGAAAGAAUUUUUGAACCCCAAAUAAUAGUCCCCCAAGUCCAAGUAUAGAUAUUUAUAUCAUGAUUGGAGUUAGAGAUGUGCUGCUGUAGGUGAAUGAUGAAAAGACCGAGGCUGUGUUGAAGAGAAAGCCAAGGUGGUUGGGAAAUUGAACCUGCGAGGCUUGUUGACUGAACGUUGAAGAGGAAGCCGAGGUGGUUGGGAAAUCGAACCUGCGAGGCUUGUUGGCUGAAUGUUGAAGAAGAAGCCGAGGUGGUUCGGAAACCGAGCUUGCGAGGCUUGUUGGUUGAACGUUGAAGAGGAAGUCGAGGUGGUUGGGAAAUCGAACCUGCGAGGUUUGUUGGCUGAACGUUGAAGAGGAAGCCGAGGUGGUUAGGAAAUCGAACAUGCGAGGCUUGUUGGCUGAACGUUGAAGAGGAAGCUGAGGUGGUUGGGAAACAGAACCUGCGAGGCUUGUUGGCUGAACGUUGAAGAGGAAGCCGAGGCGGUUGGGAAACCGAACCUGCGAGGCUUGUUGGCUGAAGAGGAAAUCGAGGCGGUUGGGAAACCGAACCUGCAAGGCUUGUUGGCUGAACGUUGAAGAGGAAGCCGAGGCUAUUGGUAAUGAUUGCGCGUCGAUAGAUGUGCCAAUGAUUUGAUAUUUUGUGCUUGUUUUCGAGAAAAAGUGGCUGACCCGUUACGAUUUCCAAGGUGCCUGCUGCCGUCGAAUUAAAAACACAAUUAUGAGGAUAGUUGGAGGUUUUAGAAGCAGACGCGUUGGAUGGGAUGCAUGGGAGGCACUCUUGAAUCUGAGGCGUAGGUUUGAAAAAUCGUUUGAAUUCAACGCCUCAGAUUUGAUCUACAAUGGAGGGUUCAGAUUGAUCGAGCUUCGAUCUGACGGCUAGGGUUUGUCCUGGACCUCUAUAAAAGGUGAGAAAAUUCCAUUUUUCAGGACUUUUGAGCAUUUGCAAUCUGAUUCUCUCUAAAAUCUUGAACUUUCCGACGUCGAGGCUGUUUGUUCUUUCAUUUUUCGGCCUAUCUCCGUUCGCGUAGUUCCUCCCUUAGGUAUUAUUCUUAGAAGAGCCCCCUUUUUUUGUUAAUACUAUGAAAUGGAGUCCACCUUGGGUAGGGAGCUGGUGACAGUGGCUUCAUUAUAUUAUGGGGUCAGUCACAGGGGGGGUUCCGAGGUUGAUAGGUACGCCAUGACCGAGGAGCCAGUAGAUCAUACCAAAGAGUGGGGGGGCAUCUAGGGUGCCUUCAAGUAUGACGUGGAAGAGGUUGGGGGAGGUCAGGAAGAGAUACAGUAUCCCCCACACUAUAGAAAUGUUAGUUUCCAAGUCGAACGAGUGGGCCUGCUAUCCGAGGCCCGGUUGUGUGGCAGUCAGUGAAUACCUGUUUAAGGCAGGUAUGCGUCUUCCUCUGCACCUCUUCUUUAGCGCGAUGCUGAGGAAUUUCAUGUUGUCGCCGACCCAGGUUCUGCCAAAUGGGUGGAGCCAGCUGGUCGGCAAGUACUUCCUGUGGAAGGAGGUGUCACUUGGGAAGGACAUGCCUCUCCAUGUAUUCAUAACUCUUUUCCAGCCCUGGGUCAUAGGGAAAGAGUCCAGGAGGUGAUAUUACCUUACACUUUGGGGGGCUCACGCACCUUUGUGGUGGGACUGCCUUCCUCCAUCAAGGGGCGGAAAGAGUCAUGGUUCUAGGUAUGAGGAAAGUGGUAGGCAGUAGAGGGAGACAAGGCCCUUUCUUGCACAGUGCCGACCCAGUACUACGAAGCCCGUGAGUCUUCCAGCCUCUGCUUGUACUUCUAAAUUGAACACUUGAACUUUUCUAACUGUUGAGGCUUCCAUUGAAGAUAGUAGUAUGAGGUUCAAGCUCAGCAGGGAAGAGUUCGAGGUGAUAGAGGACAUCUACAAGAGGCCUCUGAAGCUCCGCCACUUUGACCACCUAAUCAACAGGAGCCGCUACUUCCUGGAUUUUGGACUAAUGGCUUCCAGAGGUACGAAGCUCCCACAGUUGUAAAUUUUCUUGUUCUUUUGUUUUGAUACUGAUGUGCUGACCUGACGUGCUAUGCAGAUAAAUUCAAGAGGAGGGAGUACCUAGCUCCGGACAUGGCUUCUAUUCUAAAGGCCACAUCCAUUGUCAAGGCGAAGCCCCUGAAGCUAGGGUCCAGUGGGGCUAAGGAGGUUCGAGGCAGGGUGGAAUGCCUUUCCAAGGACAGCACUUCAAGGGCUUCCGAAGAGGGGACUCCUCAGAGGCAGGAGAAGCCAAAGGAGCCUCGGGGGGAAAGAGAAGGUCCUUGAGGAGGCGAAGAGGAGGAAGCUGGUGCACGUCACUAGCUUGUCAGGGAAGUUUGGGACAUCAGUGUCCCACGAGGCUAAAUUAACUGGUGAGCCGAAGCUGCUCGCAUCCGCCUCCAAAGCCAUUAAGAUAGAAAUGGUUAGAGAGGCCGAGGCUGAGGAGGCCAGAGAAGAGGCUGCGAGGAGAGCUGCCGAGGCUGCUGAGGAGGAGGCAGCAAAACAGAAGCCUCUUCGAGAGAAGGGCAAGUCUCCAAGCUUCCUAGCUGGUAGGGAGGAGACCUUGGCCCCAGCCUUGGUGGAGGCUCUACCCCAGGAGAUUCGGAGCGCUACUGAGAGCUUCUACCGAUUCUGGACUGAUAGGUGGUAGCUGCAUGCCUCGUCCUGUGAUGCCACCGACCUGACGAGGGCUUUGGUGAGCCAAAGCGUCAGAACCUUUGGCCUCGUACUUGAAUGCAGGGAGGCCCUGAGUGAUUUUCAGACAAGGACCCAGUCUUCGGAGGAGAAGACGGCUUCCCUCGCAGAGGAGUUGAAGGCAGCUAAGGUCGAGGCGGAAGAAGCCAAGGCCCAAAAAGUUGAAGAAUUGGCCAAACUUGAGUCUGCUUUGGCUCAGAUUGAGGCCUUGAAAAAGGAAGUGUACGAGUCACAGUGCGAGGUGACCUCCCUGACAAAGAAGGUCGAGGUCUCCAAUAAGCACCAGAAAGUGACCGUCGAGGCCCUGGAGAAGGCAAAUGCCCACUUGGCGUCAUCCUAAGAGGCUUACCAGUUCUUGGGGGGGCCAAGUCAAGUGGUAUGUGGAUGAUGCCUCCCAUACAAGAGAGGAGGCCCAACAGGCGAGGGAGGAGGCGGUGCAGGAGUACAUCGCCAACUUUCAUAAUACAGAGGAGUAUAAGAGCUUCAGUGCUUAUUGGAGAAACUUUCCCUAUGCCGAGGUGAUGGAGCGGGCAGAGGAACUGUAUCCCAAUUUGGAUCUGACUCAACUCAGGUCUGAAUUUGUAGACGAGGUACCUCAGACCCCUACUGAGGAGGUGCAGGGUCAUGAAGCAGCGGAGGUAAAGGAGACAAGUGCCGAUGCUCAAGCUGUCGAAGCCCCAAGUGCUGAGGCACCUCCGCCAUCUACCCAGGCUUAUAUUAGUUUUCUUUUCAGUCUCUUGAAUGUAAUGGCCUGAGGCCCAUCUUUGUAAUCUUUAUUGAAGAUCAAUAUGAUGCCUUUUUGAUUCGUUGUUGUUUCAUUGUUGUUUCUUUAUCCAAGUGUAUGCGCCUCGUUAAGCAAAUGAACUUAAAAGUUGACAGAAGCACUAACUAAAUAACUUUAACUUGGUACCUUAACUUCAAUCACUUUAAACAACUGGAUUGAACGACUGUAUGAGCCUCGGAUUUAAGCAAAUGAACUUUACUUAAGCAUAAUAACGGUAUGGGCCUCGGACUUAAGCGAGCCUCGAAUUUAAGCAAAUGAACUUUAUUUAAGCACAACUGUAUGGGCCUCAGAAUGCACGUGAGGUGGCUUCUCCCCUUGGCAUUCAGCCUGGCCUAAGGGAGGCAUGUGCUAGCGCCUCGAAGUUCAAGCGAGGUGGUCCAGAGGUGGGACGCGAGCCUCUCCUCCGAGGUGACGAUGCACCCUAGACAUGGUGGACGGUGCAGCCAUAUUGAGGCUUCUCCCCUUGGCGUUCAGCUUGGCCAAAGGGAGGCAUGUGCUAGCGCCUCGGAGUUCAAGUGAGGUGGUCCAGAGGUGGGACACGAGCCUCUCUUUCGAGAUGACGACACAUCCCAGACAUGGUGGAUGGUGUAGCCAUGUUGAUGCUUCUUCCCUUGACGUUCAGCUGGCCAAGGGGAGGCGUGUGCUAGCGUCUCGGAGUUCAAGCGAGGUGGUCCAGAGGUGGGACGCGAGCCUCUCCUCUGAGGUGUCGAGGUAGUACAACACGUUAAUUUAAUCACUGAAUUUUAUUGAACCAUAGAAAUGUUACAAAGGCUGGGAAAGGUAGAUUUUUUGAGGUGUUCAAUGUUCCAUGGACGGGGUUGUGCUUUAUCGUUCAUGUCUUCAAUCCAGUAAGUCCCAGGUCGAACCUCUUCUCUGAUUUUGUAUGGACCUUCCCAGUUCGAGCCUAGGGAACCAGAACCAGGUUCUUUUGAGAACAGGAAGACCCUCCUAAGUACAAGGUCGUUGAUUCGGAAUAACCUCUUCUUAACUUCGAGUUGAAGUACCUUGUCAUCUUUCUCUGAUAUGUGCCGAGUUUCAAUUGGGAAUCAUCUCUUCUUUUUUCGAUGAAGUCGAGGUCACACCUCCGAAGCUCAUCGUUGGUUAUCUCGCUGAAGUGCAGACGUCUUGGAGAUGGAAGUCUGACCUCCACGGGGCUCAUCGCCUCAGUUCCAUAUGCCAUGAGGAAGGGCGUUUCCCCUGUUGGAGUCCUGAUGGUGGUUCGGAUUGCCCAAAGGACUUGGGCCAGCUCAUCAACCCAGACCUCUUUUGAUACAUCAAGUUUCCUUUUCAGGACGUGCUUGAUUGUCUUGCUCACGGCCUCAACUUGGCCAUUUACUUGUGGGUGGUGAGGUGUGGAGAAGUGCUUCUUUAUGCCGACCUCUUCGCAUAAUUCUCUAACCUUCUUGUUGUCAAAUUGUCUGCCAUUGUUUGAGACAAUUGAGUAGAGAAUUCCGAACCGGCAAAUAAUAAUUUUCCAUAAGAACUUGGAGGUGUUGGCUUCAGUGAUUUUUGCCAGUGGUUCAGUUUCGACCCACUUUGUGAAGUAAUCAAUGGCCACAAUUGCAAAACUUGCACCUCUUCUACCUUUAGGUAGGGGACCUAUGAGGUCCACACCCAAUUUUGAGAAAGGCCAGGGGCUGGAGAUGGCGGUCAAAUCCUGCGAUGGUUGUCUUUGCACAGUAGAGAUGCGCUGGCAUUUAUCGCAUUUUCGUACAAACUCGAGGGCAUCCCACUUUAGGGUAGGCUAGUAGUACCCCUGCCUCAAUAUUUUUUGUGCCAGAGAUAGACCUCCGGAGUGGUUGCCGCACGCGCUUUCAUGGACUUCUCUUAAUAUGUAGGUAGCCUAUUUUCCUCCAACGCACCGUAAGAGUGGAGAGAAGAAGCUCCUCUUGUAGAGAAUGUCAUCAAUGAAGAGGAAGUGGGCUGACCUCCUCCUUAACUUGUAAGCCUCAUUCUUGUUAGUGGGCAGUACCUGGUCUUUGAGGUAUGCUAUGAUUGGCUGCAUCCAAGUGGGAGUUCCAGCGACCCACAUUACAGUAGGGGCCUCGAUCGAAGGCAGGAGGAGGUCCUCAAUAGGUACUACUGUGAGUAGCUCUAAGUCCUUGCUACUAGCCAGCUUCGAGAGUGCAUCCGCAUGGGCAUUUUUGAUGCAGGAGAUUUGGAUCAACUCAAACUUUUCGAAAGAUGGGAUGAGGUUCAUCACCAUUUUCAGAUAGGAGGCCAUCGUUUUGUCUUUGGCUGAGAAGUUACCAUUGACUUGGCUAACAACCAGUUGGGAGUCACUACUGAUGAGUAGCCUCUUUACUUGCAUUUCUAUGGCCAGCCUGAGGCCCGCAAGAAGUGCCUCAUAUUCUGCUGCAUUAUUGGUAGCUUUGAAUCUGAACCUCAUCGCCAAGGUGAGUUUGUGACCUUCGGGGCUGAUGAGGACAACCCCGGCACCUGAGCCGACAUCCCUAGCUGACCCAUCGACGAAGAGGUUCCACGUGGGAGGCUCGGUGGGUUCCAUGAUUUCAUCCACCUCGGGUAGGUUGGCGAAUUCAGCCACAAAGUCAGCCAAGGCUUGUCCUUUGAUGGCUGCCCUAGCCUUGAACACAAGGUCAAAUUCACUUAGUUCCACUGCCCAUUUCAAUAACCUUUCUGAGGCAUCGGGCUUUUGGAGUACCUGCCUCAGGGGAAAGUUCGUCAGGAUAUGGAUGGUGUGAGCUUGGAAGCAGGGUCUCAAUUUCCUAGAGGCCGUGAUCAAGGCUAAAUCGAGCUUCUCCAUAUCGGGGUAACGGGUUUCUGGCGAUAGGAGUGCUUUACUUGUGUAGUAUACGGGGAGUUGGGUGGACCCUUCUUCCUGUAUCAGAAUCGAGAUGAUGGCCUCAUUGGAGACGGCCAAAUAUAGUUGUAGGAUAUCACCGGGCUUCGAUUUGGAGAGGAGGGAGCCUACCCAGGUGCCUUUUCAGGCAUUGGAAGGCCUCUUCACAUUCCUCAGUCCACUGGAAUUUCUUCCCAGCCUUCAGCACUUUGAAAAAUGGGAGGCAUUUGUCCGUAACUUUGGAGACGAAGCGGCUAAGUGCGGCCUCUCGCUCGGUAAGACUUUUCACCUCCUUUGGCUUUUGGGGCGACCUCAUGUUGCAUAGAGCUUCAAUCUUCUCGAAGUUGGCCUCAAUUCCUCGUUGGUUGACCAUGUACCCCAAGAACUUGCCGGAGGCUACCCCAAAAGCGCACUUGAGGGGGUUGAGCCUCAUCCUAUACCUUCUUAAGAUUUGGAAAGUGCUGUUGAGGUGUGUUAUUUGGUCCUCAACCUCCAAACCUUUUACUAGCAUGUCAUCCACAUAGACCUCCAUUGUUUUUCCAAUGAGUCCAUAAAUAUCUUAUUUACAAGUCUUUGGUAGGUUGCUCCGGCAUUUUUCAAUUCGAAGGACAUCAUUCUAUAACAAUAGAGGCCUUGGUCCGUGAUGAAAGAGGUGUGCUCUUCAUCGGCCAGGUGCAUGGAGAUUUGGUUAUAGCUGGAGUACGCAUCCAUAAAGCUCAACAACUCGUGCCCAGCCGUGGAGUCCACUAGUUGGUCAAUCCUUGGGAGUGGAAAGCUAUCUUUCGGGCAAAUUCUAUUGAGGUUGGUGAAGUCGAUGCACACCCUCCACUUGUCGUUGUGUUUCUUUACUAAAAUCGGGUUGGAGACCCACUUCGGGUAGGUUGCCUCCCUGAUGAAGCCACUUUGGAUGAGCUUCUGAACUUCUUCCUUCAGAGCCUCGUACCUUUCAGGAUUGAGGGCCCUCCUUUUUUGCCUGUGUGGGGGCAACCUUAGGAUCGACCUUCAGGUAGUGGUAGCUGAUCUUGGGGUCUAUACCUACCAUGUCCUCAUGCUUCCAGGCAAAGACAUCAAGAUUUUUGCUUAGGAAAUCUUUAAUCUUUUCCUUCAGAGUGUUGGAUAAGCAUUUGCCUACCUUCAGCACCUUUGAUGGGUCUCGAGGGUCUGCCGAGAAGCUCUCAAGUUCCUGUACUAGAGGAUGCUUGAGGCUCAUGUUCCAUUAUGCGGGGGUCAAUCUCAUCAAUGACCAGCACCUCCGGAUUAGGUGGUGCGUCGAUCAUAUCAACAUCUUCUUGUUCGGUGGGAGCAUCACCUGGGACAUCAGCCAUGACCACAUCAGCUAUGAUUACAUGGACGUCCCGGGGCUCUACCUUCUUGAUGGAGCUUAGAUAGCACUCUCUCGAGCCUCUUUGGUCGCCUUUCACAGUUGCCAUCCCAUUUUCUGUCAGGAAUUUCAUGCAUAGGUGGUGGAUGGAGGUGACUGCUCCCAAUUCCUUUAGGGCAGGUCUGCCCAACACUCCAUGGUAAGCCAACCGGCUGUCGACAAUGAGGAACUCCAUGAAGUUCAUCGUUGAUUGUGGGGAUUCUCCCAUCUCCACUGCAAGUGUUAUCUUUUCCCUCAGAGUGAUGUUAUCUCCGGUAAAUCCGUACAAUGGAGUGGUGGUGGGCGUCAGCUGAUGAUCCAAUAUCAUCUUGUCAAAGGCGGAUCGGAAUAGAAUGUUGACGGAGCUGCCAUUGUCAACUAACAUUCGUUUGAGCCCAUUACGGGCUAUGACAGCCCUCACCACAAGUGCAUCGCAAUGGGGGUAAUGAACUCCUUCGGCGUCUUCCUGGGUGAAGACAACGGGUGAAACUUGGUUUCUUCGGGAGCUACUAUCCACAAUGUAUCUUGUCAAAGGGGGGUGUUUAGCCUUCCGAGCGUAAUUCCUUUUGGCGUUUCGUGUUUCACUGCCAACAUACGGACCUCCAAAUAUGCUAUCCACCUCGUGGAUAGGGGCCUCAUCUUGAGCUUGCCGAUUUCUUCGGUGCCUACGCCCUUCCCUGGGCCUCUCUGCAUCAUGCUCCCUUCGUCGUGGGGAUACAUCCCUUUGAUGGGGAGCGGCCUCCUCACGCCUACGUCGGUUGUCAUACCUAGGCGGGGGCCUGUUCACCUGGGGCAAAUCAUGUCUAUCUCUAGCGGGUUCCUGUCGCGAGCGGUGUGCAUAGUCUCUGCAAUCUGCUGUGUCAUGCCCGUAGGACCUGUGGUGCACACAGUAUUCUGGAGAGUUCGGGUUUGACCUAUUUCUAGGUCCUGAACCUCGGCCUCGGCCUCUCCCCUGACGGGUCCCUGCUGGGCCUCCAUCUGAUGGGGGUCAGUAAUCGGGUUGACAUCUUCAUAUGCCAAGGUUGGAACCACAUUCAGAGUGGUGGUGGCAAGUUUUGGUAGCCCAUCAGGUAGAAGGUUAGGCCUCUACCACGCUAUCUUUGAGGAGGUGGGAGGCCUCUACUUGCCCUGUUCCUAUGCUCAAUCAAUUCUUCAUUGAUGAUCUCCCUUCUCAUCAUUUUGAGUAGGGCGUCAUAGGUGGUGGGAUCUUGAUUCUGCACGUCUCUUCAGAAUAGGGUAUUCAUGUUCAGACCUCCCCUCAAUGCGGAUAGUGCCUCUCGGUCAGUGACUUGUACGCAGUACAUCAUCUCAUUGGUGAAGAGGGAUAAGAAGCUCUUUAGGGACUCGCCAUGUGCUUAUCUCAUGUCUUGGAGACGUUGGAUGGGGGCCUCUCCUUCAUUGCUCACCGCGAAUCUCUUCAAGAAUGUUGUCUUGAACUCGGACCAGCUUCUAAUGCUCCCAGGUGGCAAUCUACUAUACCAAAUUUCAGCCGCUCCACUAAGUGUUAAAUGGAAGGCUCUGCACUUCACAGCUGGGGUGGCGCCCCUUAGGCUCAUGUGAGUUUUAUAAGCAUUCAGGUACUUUUCUGGGUCGCCUCUUCCGUCAUACUUUGGUAUUUUUAGCAUAACAUAGUGGCUCGGGACCUGGGUAUUCCUUAGUUCCCUGGAGAAUGGUAGAUUCUCAUCAUCAUCGUCCAAGUCGCAGCACCUCUGCUCUUCAUCAGAGUCGUACUCAUCAGCCUCAUAUCCUGGUCGCUAGUGAGAGGUUCCGGGGCGAUCCCUAGCCUCUUCCUCUCUCCUCUGCAGCCUAUUUCUAGGCGGAACAACAAGGGAGGCAUUUUCACGCCUUCACUCCGGCUGCUGGGGCAUUGGAGGUAGAAGAGGUGGCCUUGUCCAAGGCUGUUGAGCCUGCUGUUGCCUGAGCCUCGGUUCGGCAGGGUUGAUUCUGUCAAAAAUACUUCUUGCCUUCCUAUGUCUUGGAUCUUGCUCAUAAGGAGGUGGGAAAUUAUCAUGACUCAUUUGGACCUCGGUGGGUCGGCCAGAAGCGUAGUUGGAAGAAACAUCAACUUCCACUUCCCUUUCAAAUGGGCUUUCACCUCGGCCAUAGUCUGACGAGGCAGCUCUAUGACUUUGAACUUCAUCCUCUUGCUGAUAGUGCCCUUAGGGGGUGUAUGGAGGAAUGGAAAAACCUCCCUGUCCUUGCAUUUGGGCCAUAAGCUCCCUCAUAGCCAAGUUUUGGCUAGCAAUAUCCCUCAUAUUGGCUGCCAUGGCGGCCAUUUCUCUUGAUAGUCGUGUCGUCGCACGCAUCCCACCUCUUCUUUGGUGGUGGUGGAGUCAAUGUCGAGCUACUGGGACAGUGGGCUGAGGAGGCACAUUCAUGUUUUCUCUUACCCUCCUGGGGGAGUAUCUUCAUUGGAGCUCAUUUUCUUUUCUCAAAUUUCAGAUUUUGCUAAGUAAUGAGGCUUUCUCCUGUUCUUUUUCAAGAACAAAUCAUUUUUCACGGGGGGUUGCCUAAAUGUUUUUUUUAGUAAGCUUUUACCACAAGGUUGCUUGUGGUUAUGGUAUGGUUUCCCACAGAAGGCGCCAAUAUGUUGACCCCAAAAAGUGUUACCAAUAGAUGUCGGUCCCACCCGCGCACGCGUGGGCGAAUGUCCAACACGCUAAGACAUGUGGAUAGUCUAAAAUGAGCGGUUCAGAGGGCGUGGGAGUAGUCCAACGACGCGGGACGGUGACGUUCGAAAUUCGACAGGUUGUUCAUGAUUCGAUUGUACAAUAAUUACCAACCGGUGUUCGUAAAUGUAUAUGUAAAUGUGUAUAAACUCAAUUUGUAUAUUGCAAGUAAAUGAGAGAGAGUUGAGUAAAGUGUAGUUCUUUGCAUUGAUUCUUGCAUUAACCUUUUGGUGUUACACAAGGGAAGUAUUUAUAGUGGUAUAUGUGAAAUGGGAGCCCUUGGAUGAGGUGGCACGUGGCCUCAUCUCUUUGAUUUAAAUAUCUCAUCAGGCAUGAGGUUUGACUUGCUAGCUUGCAGCGCAUUUAUUGCUUGUGCAGAACCCCCUAUACUAGUGAUAAGACUUGACCUUUAUGUUUAUGACAAACGUUCCAUCAAUCAUUCGAAUAAGAUCUUUAUGCAGACGAUCUCUUGGGAGAAGUGAUCAUGGAGGAUACUCCCUUGUAGUUCGGAGGCUCCUGCACCAGCUUCGGGGUUUCGGCCAUUUCACACAAUACUUCCACUUGAGGGCUUCAGCCAUCUUCAACCAGCUUCAACAUCAUGACUUCGGCUCAUAUGCCUCAGCAUGAGGACCUCAAUUACGUUCACAGGCCUCGGUAAAAAGACGCCUCGGCUAGUGGACUUCGGCUUGAAGGGCUUCGGCCAUAGCCCACCUCGGCAAUAUAUGCCACCUCGGCUGGAGUGCCACAUGGUUCGGCUUGAGUGGGCCAUUGGCCCAAGUAGAUUGGCCAAGUAUGACAACACGUAACACCAACUUACCUCAAUCCUAAUCAAGAUAUUUGGUGGCCAACACAUUUAGAAUACGAAAAUUAUUAUAGUCACACAAAACGGAUCCAGUAAAAUAAUGGGAGUGUUUAUUUUGAGAAUAAUUUCUAUAAAUAAUUGAUAUAGGAUCAAAGUCAUACAAAUAAACUUACAAAACUUUCUUUGAGAUUCUAAGAAGAAUACGCCUGAACAAUUUUUUCCUUCCUCUUAUCUUAUACCUGGAGAUAUAAAAAUCAAAGAGGGAAAAAAUCAUAUACUAUGCAAUCAAAAAAUAGUUACUUAUCUAGUGUCAUUGUAAUCUUAUUUAGACAUAGCUAAUCUUAUAUCUCCAAUAAAGCAGUUAUUUAAUAUCAGGAUAUAACAAAAGGUUAUUAAGGCAUAGCUAUUAACAAAAGAACAAUCAUAAGUUAAUCAUAGAUAACCUCUAAACAUGAUCUGCAUAUGAUAAGAGUUAUAAGAAAAAAAAUGAGGACCUAAGGCGACGUUUGCAAUGAUAGAAAGAUGGGUUCAACCGAAGAAAAGGGGACGCCCUAGGUCUUCGAAGCAAGUAUUAGAUGAAUAAAUAAGCAUGAGAAGAUCGUAGGCUGAUUCAAAUAUUAUGUAUGGAGACAGCUACAAAAGUGGAACUUCUAAAGCAACUAACCUUUAAAAAUAUAAGGUUUUGAAAGUGAUGUCUGCUUUUUCCAUCCAGAAUCAACAACUUUGUCAACCAUAGGAAUAUACUCAUCAUAUCGUGAUAAGUGACCAAGCUAGAUUUUCCAUUAGCUUUAACCUGAAAAACAGGGACUUGAGAUAAUCAGAAGAGAAAGGUUGAUCCUCUACAUUAAUUUUUGUGAGGGAUUGAGAAAGUGUCAACACUUUUCUAUGACAUAUUCACAUUGUAUAUGGUAAAGUUAUACCUUUCUUAAGAAAGGAAAAUUAGUUUUAUAGAAAAAAAUAUUUCUUACAAGGAACCGUGUGCUUAGUUAUAUUUCAUGAAGAAUUUGUACUUUAUAUCAUAAAUAAAAUCAUAGACAUUAUAAAUAAUAAUUAUCAAACAACUAAUGAACUCUUGAAUAAUGUCACUUUACUUGAUUUUUUUAGUAGCAAAAGAUUGCACAACCCGACCUCUAAAAAUUUGAUCUAAAUUUGAAUUCCAUGUAACUGGACACCUUUUAAGGGUAUACACAGAUGCUUUUAAACCAAUCAAAGAGACGAUAUUAAGCAAUUGAUAAUUUUGCACUUGUGUUGCAAUUAAGCAAAUACUAAAUGAUCUACAAGCACCAAAUUAAAUAUUUGCACAAGCUACCACCAGACUCAACACUAAAUAAGGGAGGAUUCAAUUAAAGUUAUAUAAAACAUUAUUUUCAAUAGCAAUAAAAGCACACAGGAUGCUCUGAUACCAGAUUUUGAGCGGAAUAGAUGAUAGGGUUGGACAAAACUCCCAAACCGAGCUGAACCAACCAGACUCGAAUCGAACCGAGCAGUUCUUCUUAAAUUAAAUACUCGAACGGAUAUUUGAAUCCAAAAUCAAUGAGUUCGUUCUCGGAUCUAAAUCAAGAACCGAAUCUUUCCAAUUUUUAAUUUAUUUAUUUUAAAAAAACAAAAUUAUUUUAUUUUUUCCAAAUUAAUUUGCUAACUAGUUAAUUUAGUUCAAACCCAAAAAUAUGAUUUACCUAUUUCUAAUUUUCAGUCCAAGCCCAACAUAAUCAAAUUGAUCUAAAUUUUAUCCAAAACUGUUAUUCUACUAUAGUAUCGUUUCUAUUGUUUUGGAGAAAUCAAACUGAAACUUGACAACGCCUCUCUUAAUUAUUGUGAGCUCGCUAUCUUCCUCUUAUUGUGAUUCUAACAAUCAAAACUACAAAGAAUUCAGCAAAGAGAGAUGCAAAAGAUACGUCAAAUUGGACUACAUUAUUUUGUAAGAAUUAAUAUUGAACAUGUCAUUAGUAGAAUUAGUGUAGUUUUGUAAAUAUUAAAAAAAUUAAUUAUAGUAGAGAACCUAGAAAUCAAAUGGAACAUAAUCGAACUAACCCGGAUAGAACCAAAUCCAAACGUUUCCACUUACUAAAUAUUCGAAAAUUUCGGGUCCGAUUCAGUUCUUGUUAAAAUUGAAUCGAACCGGACCAUGUCCAGUCUUAAUAAAGGGUCACCAAGGCUUUAUCUGGGCUCAAUUUCUCCAAUAAUCGACACCAUUAUGAAAUCAACCCAAAAUCCCUUAAACCACUUCUCACUUACGAUUGCUCAAUGUUCACCCACUUAGGAUGUGCACAGGAAGAGAUAAUACAAAGAAGAAAAUAGCAUAAAGACAGUGAAAGGGAGUAGUAGGCAGAAUUCAAAAAUAAAGCCCCCCGUUUUCACAUGCAGGGGAAAGAGAUAAAUAGUGAAAUCAUAUGACCAAGAGACGAGGUAGCCCAAGAUAUAUAAGUAUCAAUUAGGGUACAAUGAUGGGUCAAGCCCAAUAUUGAGGUUAGCGGACUGCUAAAUGGGUUACCAAAUGUUAGCCGUCCAAGUAAGUGAAAUGGGCUAUGAGUAGCAUUAAUUAAAUUAGGCUGCUUCAAAUGGCUAAAACAGUUUUUGGAUAGGGGUAUUUCAUUAUAGCUUCGAUUUUCUGUUCAGUCAUUUGUUCAAUAUCAAUUGAGAAAAUAUACCUAGUAAAAUCAUAGUCCGAAGAGGUCGUUUAACAACAAUUUGCUCAACACCAACUCUUCACACCAUGCCUCGCCCCUUAACUCUUUCCUAGUUUCCUUGAACCCAUCUGGUAAAACGACCGAGCAAGACUCGCCCCAGCCGGAUGGCUCCCUCAAUACCCAAAGGAAGGGGAAUAACAACUCCAAUCCAAGAGCUAACUCAUUGAGUUGAUCCUGAUUCGGUGUCACCUCACUCCCUAAAGUAACGUAAACAACUGACCGUUUAUUUUGAUGAUCAAGCCAAGUUUUGAUUGAAACCCAUGAUUGACUGUAAUCUUCUUUCACUUGGGGGUGGCAUUAAACCUACUGGAAUCACUAGCUUACGGUGAAGCUCUUUGAGUAAUUUCAACCAGACCAAUUCAAACUCAUUGUAGUGUCUUAUGAAAAUAGCCUCGCAUCCAUCAAUUACCUUACCAUUACGAUACUUAUCUGAAACUCAUGACUCAUUCUGUCGAGUUGCCGUGAUAAUCCAGUUUGCUUCGUAUCGUCGAUAAGACGCUUUUGUCGCAAACCGUACCUACUUUGGGGGAAUUAUGAAAUCUUAUACUCUUCUCCUCUCAUCAAAGCCGUCAAUCCUGAUCUUUGUUGAUCCGAGAAAUGCUAAAAACCAUGCGUUAAUGAUCAUGGAAAAGGCAAGAGAAAUUCCACGUUUAAUGGGUUGUCUAUAGUUGAAUUUGUAGCAUGAUUUUGUUGGGUUGCCAUUGACAUUUACCUAGAGAAGCUCUACUUUUAACAAAGAGAACAAGGUGAAUUCUACAUUUUGGUUCAUCAAUGCUUGCUUACCCUGGAUUGUGUAUAUUAAUUGUUUUUAUACGAUUACAAUGCAAACAAAUUGUCAUAAUAGCUAUAUUUUUGGUGUCCUACAGAUUUUCUCAUUACCUAUAGAAGCUAAUCCAAAUUUAGAACAUAAAAUUUGUGAAAGUCAUGUGUUCUUUCUCGAAUCUACAAACCAAGAGGAUCAACAGAAACUCCAAAUGAUGCAGCCAUGGAAAUUAAAGAGGGCUCUAUUUUAGCAACAGACACCACAUCGAUCCUGUUAAAUAUUUUUCAUCAUUUUGCAUGUAUUUAUUUCUGUUUUGCGAAUGAUUUGCUUCCCCGACUAGUGUUUGCCGUUGCGCAACGAGGAUCGACCUGUUCGAUUUUUAACAGUCACCUCCAAUAGAUGUAUGCAAGGAUUUCAAGGGACACACUUAUUCAAACGGUUGCUUCAAUUUCUAUAAAUUCUCGGCGAAUUCUCGUUUGCAAAACACAUUAAAAAAUUUAUUCUUCUUUCUUUCUCUUGGCAUCAAUCAGUUAUUUUCGAGUAUCUUCUUAGUUUGAUCAAAUAAUCACAAUUUGAAUCAAACGUCUCCAUUAUAUCCUGAGAGAGAUUUUCUAUCAUACCCCAGUUUGUAACUUUGUUGGAUAGGGGAGAAAUAUCUCUUAAAAGAUAACGUUUUUUCGUGCCUUGGAGUUCAUUAAGUAUUCAGAUUUCCCUACAUUUUUCUCAACAGAUCCAUCAUGAUGAAGCCUUCUUGAUCGAAUAUUCCCUUUUGAGUUCAGGUUUACAGUAUCCUGUUAGUUCACAUAAAGGCAGACAUUGAAGAAAUAGGCGGGAAUCAUAUCGGGAAAUUUUUGGAGGUUGACAGAGAUCAAACUUGUUUGUGAUGGCUGGAUGCCAACUAAAAUACUUAUUGGGGAGUUGCAGAAAUAUUGAAGUCAUCCCCGAUCAAAAACUAAUGUGAUUUCGAGGACAUUUACAUAGUGGACGUCACAUUGGUUUUGAAGACAAUUAUGCAAUAAUUUACGUAGAAUAAUGCUAUCUGGAGGAAAAUUUAGACAUUAUGAAUCCUCUUGAACUAAAUCUUAACCUUCGGCUUGGAGUUGAAGAUCAAAUGUUUAAACUUGAUUUUAAUGUUAGAAGUAACAGACUUGUGCUCCUUAUGGGGAAAUUUUAGGAAUGGCAACCGGAUAAGAGUUAUAACAUCUUAAUUUCACGUCGCUCUUUUUCAUUUACUUAUUUAUUUAUUUUUUGAUAUUUUAACAUAUCAUUAAAUCUAAAAAUUGAAAUUAAAGAAUAAGCCUAUCCACUCCCGAAUUUCCCUACUAACUGGAAAAAUCCGUGUCCAAAAUUUAUUGUUAUUUAUUCUCAUGAUCAGUGAACUUGAACCUGAACUAUUAAUUACGGUAAGAUAUUUCUUCCGGGUAUUAAUGGCUAUAUAGACAACCGAUUGAAUGGGAAAAAAAGCACCAACAGUUCUCCAUUCUUCUCUCUUAUUCUCCAUUUUCUCUUGUGCAGCAGCAUAUUAUGUUUAUUCCCAGUUGAUAGUGGUAUCAGAGCCCUAUUUAGACCAAAUCUUUCUGUCCUUUCAGGUAUCCUGCAGUGCAAAAAUCCAAUCCAUUUUGCAUUGAUUUAUUCAUUAUUAUAGGAGCAAUAACAAUUAAAAACUCAUUUAGAUUUUUCCCCCUUUCCUGAUAUAUAUAUAUAUCGCGCGGGUAGUCGCUAACAAUUAAAAAAGAGAUCAGACGAUUGUGUAAGGAAAAGACAUCUUGAGACGAAAUUUCAAAAAGGGGUGUUUUAUUGGCGAUGAUUUACAAUUGAAAGUAAACAGAAUGCUUCCGAGGGGUGCAAGCACACGAGUACUAAAAGAAGUAUUUAAAUCUAAAUUAAGAAAUUAAAAUUACAUAUUCUCUAUUUGAGAAUGUUUGAUUUGAGAUCCUUUUCUCUAUAUCUUCUCUUCCUUUUAUAUUCCUUUGAUGAUUUUUUCGUGACAAACCGUUUGGAAAUUGUUUGAUUACUAUAUAACUACCUACUUUCUUUAUGGUGGCUAACUUGCCGUGAAACUGUCGUCUCUAACUGUUGUCAUUACUCUUUGUCGUUCAACCGCCUUCAACUGGGCUCCUUGAAUCGUGGAAUGUGAUAAGAUCACUCAAUAACUGCUCUUCUCGAUAACCAUAAUGUUUUGUGCUUGCUAAUAUCUUGGACGAAUCGAAGGUUUGGGUGAGAACGGGGUCAUCGCUCUGAGCGAUCGUAAGAUACUCUAUUCGCUCAAAUUCUGGGCGUCUUGCAAGCUUGGGCGAUGAUGUUACCGUGUUUGUGGGCUUCCACCGCAUUCAUCAAUAAUCCUGUUUGGACCUUUAUCCUGAAUUCCCCAAUUGGGCUUCACUCUUUGGGCUAUUUGAUUUGGGCUACACUUUUAGUGUGUCAACAAUUACCUCCCAAUAUGGCAGAAUUAAUACCAAUUAUUAAUCUUUGCCAUAUUCACUUUGUAUUUUCCAGCAAUAUUUGAAAUUCUCAAGAAUUUCAAUCAUUAUUUCCUUCUCCAGCCUGGAAAGGUGCAACGUUACAAACCCUUAUAAAUCCAAAACACAUGCCAUUUUAUCGCACCACUAAACCACGUCUCUAUAUUUCGUGCUUCCUCCUCGCUAUUUUACUGUUCAUCUUCUUGUUUCUCUGCUACGUUUCUCAGGCAAACCUUAACAAAACUGUAUUUUGUUCCCAAUGGCGACUUCACAAACUCAAUCUGAUGACUCUUUUAUUUCCAGAAAAUCCUUACUAGGCCGUAUGUAAAUCCAAACUUCCUUGUACAAGCUAAUGCUGACCUCAAUGAAUUCUAUCUGGGUCCAUCGUUCAAUAAUACCGAAGCCAUUGGACAAGUGGUGGUGGGUCAACUGUUCCCUUGUACUCAAGGUCCUCCGUUCCUGAACUCUCUGCCAUUGAGGCCGAUUCGCGAAAAAUGUAUUCGCACUUAGCCCAAAGUUGAUGUUAUUUUUCGUAGAUGGCAUGCACGUCUUGUGAAUCAUGGCCCUACCAAAGCGAUUUUUGAUCGUGUUAGGAUUUCAGACUUAUUAGAAAUCACUCUUCAACCCCCAAUUUUCGACCCAGUGCUUUUUCCUAUUACUUUAAGGGAUGUUGGAACCCUAGUAAAUCUUCCGCCUUUGGGCGGUACCAUCUUUCCUGGUAUCUUGAUUUCCAGUGUUGCUCCGAAAUUUGACAAGAAACUUACUGAGUCCUAUUCAAGCCUGCAAGGCUUUUAUAAUCACUCAAGCGCUGAACCUUCUCAUGCUGAGCAUGUGGCCUUUCUUCAAAUUUGACUCUGUAAAUAUAUUCUAUGCGUGCCAAGUAUGAAACUUUCUAUGAGCUACUUACCCAUAGCGCAUGAAUUGGCGCGUAGUAGGCCUUUGAACUUAUGUUCCUUCUUUUUAACUACCCUUUAUAGAGGCAUGGCUUCCCUUCAAUUUCAACUGAAGAAUGGUGCAUCUCCCAUUGGUAGUGGGCCCCUUUGGUUCACUCAACUGUGGUUGAGAGCAUACUUUCCACCACUUGGUGCUCCAUCCAUUUUCCUUCAUUCUGCUAGCUGCUAUGGGCUAGCCAUUGAUCCACUGAACCCUGUAAAUAUGUCAAGUAGGGACAUUUUUUCAUUCUUUUAUACCUUAAAUUCGAUUCCUUCCUUCUUUCAUUUUCCUGCUCACUUGACUCCAGAUUAUGUACAACCUCCAUCCAUCCUAGACAGUGCGAGUGCCUCUCUGCUUGUUUGGGUUCAGUUUUUGAUUGGGAGGGAAUUGUUCCACGAUAUUUUAACUGGAACCAAUGCUAAAGCUGAGGUUGAAAUAUAUGCUCCCUAAUUUUUUGCUCGCUAACUUGGUUUUGGCCAAACUUGGCCUGUUCCUCCUUGCUACUCCAAAUAUUUGACAGACCGUUUUCACACUAUUAAUAAGGCAAAGGCACAAGCUAUGGAUGCUCGCAACAUUUUUUUGACGAGCAAAUUUUCAUUAGCUCCUUUCAAUUCUAGCUGUGCCGUCCAUCCUCUUUUUGAACAGCUUUGGUCAUCAGUAAAACGCCGAUUGUUUGUAACUGAUGCUAAUCGUGCCUUCCAUUUACUGGACCAGCUAGGCACUCCCUCUAUUUCUCCUAUUUUGGUCACCCCUAUGUCCGUUAGAAAUCCUUCCUCCCUUACUCACGCUAAACAUUCUAUCCAUUCACCUGCUUCUCUACCUGCCAAUGCUACUGCAGCUAAAGGUGCCUUAAACCGCAAACGGCCAGCUUCAGCAUCUCCCAUUUUGCAAGACGAUAAUGAUGAUGAUGAUGACGCUCCUCUCAUCCCUACGAGAAAGGUAAUUGAAUUUGUUUAUUCACAAACAUACUUUUCUAUGUACUAAUGGUUUACUUGAAUUUCUCAGAAAAGUUUAGCCUCUCUUUCGAAGGCUUUGGUUUUGGUAGCUCCUGCUCCAUCAUCUUCUGCUGAAGCUGCUUCGUCCAAAUCAGCUGAUGAUGGGAUUAUGCUUAAAGAGAAACCCUUAGUCUCGGAACCUUCAUCACAACCAGUAGAAGGGCCACCUUCUUCCCAGGGCGCCGACCCCCCAAACGUCGAACCAGAAGGUAAUACAUAUUUUGAUCUUUUACCUUUACUUGUGCUACUGGUUUCUGAUUCGUUGCUUCUUGAAUUAUACAGAGGCUCCUAUGGGCUUGCCCGUUGUGGCAGAGUUUUCUCGCCCAGAUAAGGAGAAGUCCCCACAGGUGGUGGAGCCAACUGCUGAUAUGCCUGAACUUCCCAAGAUUGCUGAUGAGGUAACAUUUUGCUUCACUUUCAUUUUCGCUUCGUUUAUUGUAGUGAAAGUCCUGAAUGUUGGCAUUUUUCUUUGCAGGGUGCUGAUGACAUUGUGCAUUCCAUCCAGGACUUGUUUACUUCCUAGGGACAAGUCAAGACGUCUCGCCCUACUUCAACCAGUCAUCCUUCUGCUUAUUCAGAGGAAAAUAUGAAGUUUUUCAAGUAGUCGGUACUUGAGUAUGUGUCUUUUAUGGACAUGGAUAUCGGCCGGGCUAAUGCUACUAAACAUAAGGAUAAGUUUGAGCUAUUGAGUGCGAAAUUGGCGCAAGCACUUACACUUCCGUCGCUCAUGUUUUUGCUGACUUUAAAGCGACGUUGAAGGUUGUUCACUCUGACAUCCUCUCCUUGCUAGUCGAAAAUGUUGAAUUAAAGGUAAGGAGUACUCAAUAUCUUCGUGCUGCAUCUGAAAGAGAGUUUUUGCUUCUAGAGAUUAACAAAGCCGAGAACGAAUUGAAAGAAAUCUCUUCCGACGUUAUGAUCGAAGACUCUUUGAUUACAAGUUUGGCUGUAGAGAUGAAGGAGCUUUAAGCAAAGAUGGACGACUGUAGGGCGAGAAUGGCUGCUAAAAAGCGUAAUGCUUCCCAAAGAAUUGAACGAACCAAGUCUUCACUUGAGCAAUACAAAAAGCUGGAGGUUGAUGAUGAUUUUGUAGCUGAAUUAAAUGUCGUUUCUUCUCAACAGACCGAAGAUUGGGGAGACUUCGGGAAAGAAUUCGUUCGCCCUAGGGUGAAUUGUAAUUAAGACAUCCAAUGCCUUAACUUUCCUUUUGUAACUUCGCACUAAUUGCCAUUGCUAAUUUUGAAUGUAACAGCAGUUAUCGUCAUUAAUGAACGACUAAUUUGUCUACUUGCGUAUUAAUUGACACUGUCCUUAAUCGUCAACCUCCAAAACAUUUAAUUGUUUUAUGCUAAGAUUCAUGUACAUUCUUCCUUGGUAUUUCUGUCUCUUUUCCCAAGACUUGGGGCCAUUUGAUUUCAGUUAUUAGGCACGAAUAUGGCCAUUUAUAUUCUAUCUUUUCACCUUCACGCCUCUAUAAAUGCGUGUGUAUUUCGCACUCAUCAUUUUCAUUUCCAUUCUUUUCUUCAAAAACUAAUCUGCUGUCAUCGUUUGGCAUCUCAACAAUUGAUCCAAAAUUUUCGUCUUCCAUAGAAAUGGAUCAUUUGAUCCACCCAUUUUGCUAUCUGUUUUGAUGUCACCUUUGGUAUGGGAGAUAUAGGAAAUAUUCUUUGACCAGCUAAGUUCUUCCCAUCGUCUCCAUGUUCUUUAUAAGGAGUUCAAUGAUGGAAGGGAAUUUUUGAGGAUGCUUUUCAAGCCACUUUGCUUGCUGAGAGUGCUUCUCAAUCUCUUUGCCCAUUAUUGUAGCAAUGCGAUCAGGACGCAAUCAAGGCCGGUUCACCCUCUUGCUUGACGAUCGAUCGAGAAAUUAGUUUGCUCUCAAUUGUAGCUUAUAGAGUAUUUAGUAUUUUGUAUCUCACAAUUUGUAAUGAAUAUUUGAUAAUAAAGGAAUUUAUUUGAACGUAUUUCGUUCCGGCCUUAUUUAUCUACGAUCGUUCAACGCAAUUUGAUUACGCUUUUAUUUGUUCAUUCUCCCAUAAGGAAGGAACAUACUUUUUUAAAUAUUUGUCAUUAAUGAACCUCAUGUGCUUGGUGCCAUCUAAAUCUUCUAAAUGAUAGGUUCCAUUAGGUAAUACACUAUUUACUUUAUAUGGCCCUUCCCAAUUGGGCGACCACUUGCCAUACUUUGGAUCCUUGCUAUCCAAAGGGAGUAUUGUUUUCCAAACCAAUUCGCCCAGGCUAAAUGACUUGGCUAUAACAUUUUUAUUAUAAAACUUAGCCAUCCUUCGUUUUUGAACUUGCAAUCUAUUUAGGACGUCCAACUUUAAUUCGUCCAACUCCAAUAAGUUUUGAACUAGUGAUUCGGUAUACUCACCAUCACUUAACUUAUGUUGCAAACACACUCUAAUUGAUUGCACAUUGAUUUGAUUUUCAUAGGCAAAAUGGCCUCCUAUCCAUAAGUAGGAAAGGAGUAACUUUGGUACUUGACCGAGGCGACGUCCUAUAAGCCCAAAAGGCCUUGUUUAGACAUUCGUGCCAAUUUUUGACAUUUUCAUCUAUCAUUUUCAUUAUGAUAUUUUUUAGAAUCUUAUUAAAAGAUUCUGCUUGUCCGUUAGAUUGAGCGUAAUAUGGUGUGGAGUUUAUUAAUUUAACUCCAAACUCGCUCAAGAAUUUAUUCAUUUGAUUUCCAUUUAAAGAAGUUCCGUGAUCUGCCAUCAAAGUUUGUGGAAUCCCAAAUCUAUAAAUAAUAUGAUCACGGAUAAAUUCUAUGACGCUCUUUUGGGUGAUCUCCUUUAAAGGUAUCGCUUCUACCCACUUAGUGAAAAAAUCAGUUGCAACUAUAACAAAGGUAUGUUGUUUAGACGAUGGGGGAUAAAUCUUCCCUAUCAGGUCAUCGCCCAACCCUUGAACGGCCAGGGUUUGAUAAUGGGUGUCAUCUCUCUUGCUGGCGCCCUUUGUAUUGGACUAUGCUUUUAACAUACUAGACAACUCUUCGUAUAUUGAACACAUGAUUUUCCCAUCUUGGGCCAAAAAUAUCCAUUCCUAAUAAUUAACCAUCUCAUCUUUUGUCCAGUUUGAUGAGCUCCACAUAUCCCUUCAUGCACUUCAACCAUGAUUGUUCUGGCUUCUUGCAAACUUACACAUUUUAGUAAUAUACCAUCAGAGCGUUUCUUAAACAACUCUUCAUCUAUCAGUGUAGAGUUCAGCAAACGCAACUUCAUUUUUCUACUACCUCCUUUAUUAGGUUCUUUAAGGAACCUUUUAAUCUCUGCCCUCCAAUCUAUUGCAUCUCCAUCUUGUAUGCAAUGAAUUUCAAUCUUUCUCGCCCUUCUUUGGACUACGGGCAAUAUUACUCUAUAUUCAUAAGUAGAUUUUCAAUUUAAAACCUUUGAAUACCCUGAGGCCAUCUGGGCCAAUUCAUUUGCUAUGUCAUUAUAUAUCCUAUUAACAUAUUGAAGUUCUACUUGGUCGAAUUCUUCCAACAAUUCUUGGGUGAUUUUAUAUUGACUUAUAAUGGAAUCACUUUGACACUUAAAAUCACCGAUCAAUUGGUGAAUUACCAAUUGAGAAUCGCCUCUAACGAUCACAUUCUUUACCUCCAUAUCUAUCAUUAAUUCUAAGCCCAUGAUUAAGGCUUCAUAUUCGGCUUGAUUGUUGGUGCACAUCCUAUCCAAAAUAAAUGCGAACUUAUAACAAAUCCCUAAAGGAUUUAUCAAUGCUACUCCUACUCCUGUACCUUUAGAGGUUUUCGACUCGUCGAAAUAUAAAACCCAAGGUUUUAAUUCGAAUGAAUUGAUUUCUAAUUCAAUUUCUUCAGGCAUGUUAAGGCAUGGAUGAUCGGCCAGAAAGUUAGCCAAAGCUUAUUUUUUAUUGCCUUUUGGGGUAUGUAUUGUAUUUCGAAUUCUGAUAAUGUUAACGUCCAAAUGCCUAUCCUUUGGUGUAAAAUAGGGCGAGAGAACAUAUAUUUAACGAAAUUUAUUCUAAAAAUCAAAUAAACGGUCGCGGGCCGUAAAGAAGCCCUUAAUUUCGUACACGUGAAAUAAAAUGCAAGACAUAAUUUUUCAAUGGCAGAGUAAUUACAUUCACAUUUUGUUAACCGUCUACUCAAGUAGUAAAUCGCCCUUUCUUCACCAAAUUGGUCUUCUUGCGUGACUAUUCCAACUAUUGAUUCUUGUUCAGUCGAUAUAUACACUUUCAUUGGCUGUCCUUAGAUUGAUGACACCAAUACUGGUGGACUUAAUAAAUAUGUCUUUAGGCUUUCAAAAGUUUUUUGAUGCUCUUCUUUCCAGACGAAUUCGUCCUGAUUUUUCAGCUUUAAAAGUAGCAAAAAAGCUUUAGUUCGUCCUGCACAGUCAGAAAUAAAGCGUCUUAAAAAAUUUACUUGGUCUAGGAACCUUUGCAAUUCUUUUUUAUUGCUAGGUGGUUUGGCCUCUAAAAUGGUCUUCGCUUUAUUUUUAUCAAGUUCAAUCCCCUUUUAUGUACUAAGAAAUCAAGGAAGUUUCCUGCAUUAACGCCAAAUGCACAUUUCAAGGGAUUCAAUUUUAGUUUAUAUUGUUUCAUUCGCUCAAAUGAACAUCUCACUUGUUCAAAAUGGUCCUCUUCUUUAAUGGAUUUGACCAUUAUAUCAUCUACAUACACCUCAACAAACUUGUCUAUCAUAUCAUGAAAAAUCAAGUUCAUUGCCCUUUGAUAAGUCGCUCCUACAUUUUUCAGGCCGAAAGGCAUAACUACCCAUUAAAAACAUACUAGAGAUCCAAGGCACCUAAAGGCAGUUUUGUGUAUAUCUUCAUCAGCUAUAUAAAUUUGAUUGUAUCCUGAAUACCCAUCCAUGAAAGAAUAUAUUACGUGUCCGGUAGUUGAGUCUACUAAAAAAUCUACCGUAGACAUUGGAUAUUCAUCUUUGAGUGUGGCUAUGUUUAGGUUCCUAUAGUCUAUGCACACCCUUAAUUUUUACCAUUCUUUUUUAGCACUGGCACAUUACUGGACAACCACUCUACAUAUCUGGCUGUUCUAAUAAAGCCUGCUUUUAAUAAUCGCUCUAUUUCUUUCUUAAUCUCAGGAAGUACAUUAGGAGCAAAACGCCUAGAAGGUUGCUUAUGAAGUUUAAAAUAUGGCUUGUUUGGCAAUCUAUGUUCCACCAAAUCUCUAUCUAAACCAGGCAUAUGUUCAUAUUUCCAAGUAAGACAAUCCUUAUAUUCCUUUAAUAAAGCGAUUAAUUUAUCACUAAUCUCUUGAUCGAGCAUCUGGCUGACGAAUAUUGUGCGAUCUUCCCCUUCAUUGCCAAUAUUCACUUUAAUCAGAGGGUCUUGUGCUUGAGCGUAUCCAGGCUUGGUGAUCCUCAUUACUUCAUCGUCCAUUUCUCUUAUAGGCACUUCUUCUUCUAAACAAUCCACCUUGUUGACUUCUCGGCCAAUACUUUGUUCUAACUCGAACACUGUCAAUUUGUCUCCCAAUGCUUUCAAGGCUGCUUCUUCUUUCGUCUUGUCUUUACACUCUGUAUUGAAAGCCAUUAAUUUGACUUUGAAGGCCUAAAUAUCGGCCAUUUACCUUUGUUGCUUACAACUCAUUUAAAACUUCUUGAUUACUUUUUUGCCAAUUACUGGCUCUUUCAGGGCCACUAUGUUUAGCCUCAUUUGACUGAACAUUUCAGUGAGUGCAUCUACCGAAAACGGCUCUUCGCUCUGUGCAACAAUUUGAGUUUCUUCUCCAUCUUGGACCACUCUGACAGGUCUGUAAUUUUCUUCGUACAUGAAACUUUCCACUGAGUUUGCUUCUGUGACAAAAGGUCUAUGAUCUGUCUGCACCACUUCUACUUCACCCUUGUCAUUCCAGAAAAUUAGGCAUUGAUAGAGCAAUGAAGGUAUGCAGCGACUUCCGUGUAUCCAAUCCCUUCCUAAUAACACAUUGUAAUUAGAAGGACCAUCUAUUACGAAGAAGACUGUGGUCCUAGUAGUUGUCCCUACAGUUAUGUCCAAUGGCAUAACCCCUUUAACUGAAGUUGCUCCUCCAUUGAAACUUGUAAGGAUGACUUCUAUUGGAAUCACAUCACUUUCUGUCUUUGCAAAUUUCCUCAUCAUCCUAGAUGGAAUGGUGUUUAUAGCUGCUCCAUUAUCGAUAAGUACUUUCGCCACAGGUAUACCAUUAACUAAAGCCUUAACGUACAAUGGUCUCAAGUGUUUAGUUAACUUCAUGGCUGGUCUCUUAAAAAUAACCUUUUCGACAGCAUUUAUUUCCACUUCCUGCUUGUUCUCUGUUGAAUUAUCCUUUUGUGAUAAGUCAACGUGCAGUAUGUCGCACUGAGCUUCCACUUCCUGAAUUACCUUUUUAUUGUUUUCUAAUGCUUCUUCUUCGGUUACCCAACCUGUGGGAGGAGGCAUUAUUGUUGGAGGUGAUCCAUACUUUUCAGAGCGAGGUACUCUCCUUUUUCUCUUGGGUAUCCCAUACAACACAUAAUAAUUGAAAGAACGUCCAGAUGGUUCUCCCAACAAAUCCACUUCACGAACACCUUUUCUAUGUAGUUGCUUCAACAGGGUAUUGUGCGAUACUCCUCUCUUUUUUCUUUCUGCUUCCAGAUUAAUUUCCUCUUCGAUAUCCGUCAUACCAUCAUCCUCUUCAUCAUUGUAUGCCCCUCUAGAAGUUUGACCUUCUUCACAUUCCAGCACACAUACUUCUUCUUCGUUAUCCUCCUUUUCUUCUUCUUCUUUCUUUUUGUUCUUGAACUCAUUGGCUAGUAAAUAGUUAUUAGCCAUGACGGGAGGUAACGUACCGAACUGAAUAGUAAGAGGCUAAUCUGGAUCUUCUUCAUCCCUUCUGUCUCGCCCAAACUUCGAUCUCCCAGAAGAACUCUAUGGCAAUUCUUCCAUCGAUUCACCUGUACCAGUCUCUUCACUAUCUUUGAGAACAUUUUGAUUGGCUACCUCAAGUAGUUUAGGCACCUUAGGACGUGGCACUCCCUGUUGUUGCCUCAUCAUUCGUCCAUAAUUCCGUUGAAAACGCCUUUGUUGGGUUCUAGUCAUCUCGUUGAAGGGUGUCAUCCUUUCUACAUUAUAUUGGAACGAAUGUCAUACAUUUGGUUGGCGAGGUUGCGGCCUGAAUGUUCUCCCAUUAUUUAUUGACCUGAACUACCUUUCAAAAGGUAGUCCCCUAUAGAAUGAUGUACCUCGCCCUCUAACAGGCUGAGAAUUUGGGAAAAAACUAAGGCGAUGGUGGUGCUGCCAUAUCCUUGAUUUCUCCGUAUUUGCACUUACUUCUCUUUUACAUCUUGCACAAAGGACGUCUUCAUCCUUUUUAGGCUCCUUCCCUUUGAUACGUUCAAAGACAAUGGGGUGUGGCCCAGGGUCCUCUUCUCCGUCAUCUAUAACCAACUUGAAUUUUCGCAAUUUAUUUUUGAACCCAGUCGUCACCAUGUUCACCCCAAGUGGCUGUGGAAAAGGGUUUUCAUUCACUAUCAUCUUCUUCUUAUCCUCGAAUGUAAUUCGUCCUGAUUCAAUGGUGUCCUGUAACACAUGGCGAAAAACCAAACAGUUGUUAGUCAAAUGCGACCAUGCAUUACGCCACUUAAAAUAUUUUUUACCCUUGAUUUGUUCAGGGCUUGACAACUUAUGUUUAUCGCUCAACUUCAUCUGCUUAUCCUUAUAUAGUUUAUCAAAUAUAAGGUCAGCUUUGGUUACAUCGAACGAGAACAUUCUAGCCUUUUUGUUUUUAUCUUUCAUAGGCUUAUCCUUGCCGGACGAUCUAGACUUAGCCAUUAUAGGACAAGUAUACGCGUCUCCUUUGAUUAAUUCGGUCAAACACUUUUCGAUUUGAUCGUAAUACUCCUCGUUAAUGGUAUGAACAUCAAAAUUUGGGUCUCUAUAAUAAGUCUCCUUGUUAGAAUUUUUCAUUUACUCUUCUUCUCUUAUUAAUCGUUCAUACCUAAUCACGUUUGCGCUCAAUUGAAAAAGAUCAGGAAAAUCCCUGUCUUGGAAUUUCUUUUUCAAAUCAAAGCUUAGACAACUUUGAGCAAUUUUGACAAACUCCUUUUCGGGCAAAGGUACAAAAUAUUUACUUCUUGCUGUCUUGAACCCUUGAAGGGAACCUUCUGCCCAUUCGUUUGGCAUUUGACGUAGAUUCGCCAAAUCGGCCAAAGUAACUUCAGACUCAGUCUUAUAAAACUGAGCAUAGAACAAUUGCUCCAAUUGUUGCCAUGUUUGAACAGAGUUCGCUGGCAAAUUGAUGAACCAAGAGAAAGCUACUCCUGUUAAUGAACUAGGGAACAACCUCAUUUUAUGGUAAUCGGUUACUUCACCACUUUGCAGUGUGAAUCGCCCUAUGUGUUCUAGAGUAGGCACCUCUCCUAAAUAAGUAAAAAAUGAGAAUUCUGGCACUUUAUACUAUCUAGGCCAUGUAUAUGCUUGGUAUACCCAAUCAGGAUAUGGCUUUGUGUAAGUCGGCCUAAUGACAGGACGUACCUCAAAAGCCAUUUGAUCCUGUACUAUUUCCAUAAUUUGAUUUCUCAACAUGACGUUGAGGUCAUAUGGAAUUCCUACAUGUUGGUUGAUUGGUUGAUUUGCCUGAGGCCUGAUAUUUGGUCCUUGGUUGGCAACAAAGUUGCCAUGAUUUGGGUCAUUGUUACCAUUAGCAUGAAUAUUAAUUCCAUCAUUGACACGUGGGGUAUUCUGUCCAUUAUUUAGGACAUUGUCUCUUAUAUUUAGGUUACCCCCAAGUUAGAUGUAUCAUUACCACUAUUCUGAUUUGGCAUUAUACCAUCCCCUGAUUUGAAGUAGGUGGACCAAAAGGUGGUUCUAUCCUCUGAUUUGGACUUAGGACUGGGGAAUUAUAUCCCACGAUUGUCCUAGUUUGAAAGUGAUUUUUGCAAUAGGCACAACUGGUUGACAAAUUUGGUCUACUAACUUAUUCAUUAUUUCAUUUAAUGUAUUCGGUUGUUUGACCAUAUUGUCAUAAUGUGCAUUUCCAUUCUGGGUUAAUCUUUCCAUAUUAUGAACAUUUCAUAGAUUUACCUGUUCAACGACAUCCUGUGUGAGUUCUCCAAGCAAUGCACUCAUGGUUCGAGGACUCAACUUUGUCAUUGGUUCAUAACGAUUGUGACUGCUCUGACUUUGUCCCUCUAUUCGUGGAGAGCUUUGCUGCUCCUCAUAUCGCUCGAUCACAGACUGGACUCCUCCCUAACUUGCUGCUUCCUUAUCAGAUUUAUGAGGCAUAUUGUUUCACCUUUUGUAUCUUUAACACCAAACACCAAUGUCCCACUGGGCGUGCCAAAUUGUUUCGCGCAUAUAGUCGCUAACAAUUAAAAAAGAUAUCAGAUGAUUGUGUAAGGAAAAGACCUCUUGAGACGAAAUCCCAAAAAUGGGUGUUUUAUUGGCGAUGAUUUACAAUUGAAAAUAAACAGAAUGCCUCUGAGGGGCACAAGUACACGACUAAAAGAAGUAUUUAAAUAUAAAUUAAGAAAUUAAAAUUACAUAUUCUCUAUUUGAGAGUGUUUGAUUCGGGAUCAUUUUUUCUAUGUUUUCUCUUCCUUUUAUAUUCCCUUGAUGAUUUUUUCGUGACAAAUCGCUUGAAAACUGCUUGAUUGCUGUAUAACUACCCACUUUCUUUAUGGUGGCUACUGCCGUCUCUAACUGUUGCCAUUACUCUUUGUCGUUCAACCGCCUUCAACUGAGCUCCUUGAAUCGUUGAAUGUGAUAAGUUCACUCAAUAACUGCUUCAAUAACUGUUAUUCUGGAUAACCAUAAUGUUUUAUGCUUGCUAAGAUCCUGGACGAUUCAAAGGUUUGGGCGAGAACGGGGUCAUCGCUCUGAGCGACCGUAAGGUACUCUAUUCGCUUAGAUUCUGGACAUCUUGCAAGCUUAGACGAUGAUGUUACCGUGUUUGUGGACUUCCACCGCAUUCAUCAAUAAUCCUGUUUGGACAUUUAUCCUGGAUUCCCCAAUUGGACUUCACUCUUUGGGCUAUUUGAUUUGAGCUGCACUUUUAAUGUGUCAACAGAUGGACACCAUGAUCAUUGGAACAUGCUAGUGGAGAACUUUUUAAGAUCUAAGGAGUACUGCCAUGUUGUUGAAUAUGGUGUAGCAGCACUUGCUGCUAAAGUGGCACUCAUAGAAGCUCAAAAAACGUAGUUGGCGGGAUCGAAGUUGGAAGACAGCUAAUAGAAUAUUUAAUUGUAAAAAGAAGUAUGUGCGAGAAUUUAAGGGAGGAAUUCUCAGAAACUUAUUGUUAUUGUUAUUUCUUCAUAUUUUAUAAAUGCACAUUACUUCUUAGUGGCCUAGUCUCUGGGGAAAUUUAUUUAUUUUUAUUUAUUUAUUUAUUUAUUUUUGACUUAGCACUAGUUGAAUAAGACAUAAUCAUUGAACUUGUGGCUGAACUUUUAGUCAUUGGUGAUAAGAUGUUUCAUCAGGAUUUUAUGCAUGAUUCUGUUAUACAAACGACUUUAAAGCCCCUCAGUUGAAUUGAAAGCUCCAUUUCUCUCUUAUUUUCCAUUUUCUAUGUGAGCGGUACAGAGACGAAAUAUUUUAAGAAACAAUCAUGCUUGAUGUACAUCAUUGUUAAUACUUUGUCUCAUGUUAUUAUUCAAUUGGACUGUUCAAAAAAAAUAAUUUUCCACCCAAUUAUUUGUUGAUAGUAUAAAUAAAUCAACGAAUGGCUGGUAUAUAAUCUUUUGAGAAAUGGGCAAUUUUGUUGAGUGUUUGGAAAAAGGGUGUGCAAUUUAUUGGACAAUGAUUGAAACCACACGUGGGAGACAAGACAACAUAGUGAACAUUUUACGGUAUCUUGUUCUCCAUGUUUAAAGACAUUACUUACAAUUUAGAGAGUAUCCAAUAAAGCAAAAAAAUUUAAAUCCUUCAACAUCUUCUUUAUUUUUAACAUUUAGCCCGUGUUUGACUCUCUAUAAAAUAAAAUAAUUUAUUUUCUAUACUCAUUUUAAACCACAUAUUCAUUCAAUAAGAUAUUUUGUUCGUAAACUCAAUUUUUUUUUCCAAUUUUUAUUCACAUAUUCUUUAAAAAAAUCACCAUUCAAGAUCUCAUUUUUUUUACACAAUAAGAACCAUCAAAUGAUGAUAAUUUUACUACUCAUACAUGUAAUCAUUAUUUUUUUCAUUUUUUUUCAUUUUCACUAACUUACCUCCGAAUUAUUAUCUAUUUCCCUCAUUUUCAUUGUAAAUACUCUAUUCGUGUCAUAAAGAUAGAUUUAAUUUCCUUUGUUAUCUGUCCCAAAUUAUACAUCAAUUUCUGACAAUUUAGUUGAUUUCUUAAUUUUCUAAUAUGUUCUUAUUUAAUGUGUAUUGCUAUCAACAAAUAUGAAUUAUUCACAUUUUGAUUAUUAUUUAAUAUAGGGUAUAUUAGAAAACAAGUAAGAAAAAAUUAUAUUUCUAAUUAUAUUAAUUACAUUUUCUUAAUCCGUAAAAUGGAAGCAAAUUUAUUUUUAUGGAUUGGAUGGAAUACUAUUUAGUGGGGUUCAAUAAAUAGAGCAUUGGAAAUUGAAAUAUCUUGAAUGUAACGAUCCGACCUCUAUGCUAAAGUCGUUAACUUAGAUAAUAUCCACUAUGGAAGAAUUUAAAUCCAUCUUACGUUUCACGGGUAUCCAUCGCGUCCCUAAGAUUGGAACUCAGGGGACGCGAUAGAAAUUUGUGAAGGAUAAGAUGGUUUAGAUUCUUCCAUGAUGAAUAAUAUGUAAGUUAACAACUUGAACAAAGAGGUUGAAUCGUUAGAUUGAAUGUAUUUAUUUAUAAAGAGGGGUUGGCUUUUCAAUUUUGGGGAGGUAAAUGCACUAACCAUUUUAAAAUAUUAAUUUGAAGAGUCUUUGAAAUUUUAACAAUUGAUAUUUUAAAAUAAAGACAAAAUAGAAAGAUCCCUUUUAUAAAAUCUCUUCAAAAUGCGCUUAUAGUUCAUGUCUGUGUUCUUGCAAAUGAGUCCAAAAUCAGCGAUUGCAGAAUCCCAAUGCAAAUGAAUUAAAUAUUUUUUUCUUUGAUAAUCUCAACUGUGGACAUUUGUCCAGGAUUAUUGAAUUUAUAUACUUGAUAUGAACUAAGAUUUCGUUUUUAACUCAAAUUUUAUUGUACAUUAUUCACUUUUAAUCAUAUUUCUUGCAACUCACCAACUCUCAUCAACAUAAAUAACUCUUCAAGGGCAAAACAAAAAAUCAUAUAUAUAGCUUAAUACAGCCAAAUAGCAACAUUUUAACAUAAUUAGAAAUUCUUUGUGCUCCAAGGAACAAUAAAAGUGAAGCAUUAUGAGAUUUUAAUGAUCCAACAUACAGGAAAUUAUCUUGUAGCAGCCCUACACGAUCCUAUGAUUUUCAAGAAACUUAAUAAAAUUAUCUAUAUAACGAUGGUGUAAAUUUUUAUCUCCAAAUAUUGGACUCAUUUCUUUGGCUCGAAAUUUCUUUCCCUCAUUUUCCAUCAUUACCAACUUUAUCGAAUUGGACACCGAGUUCCUCGUAUAUGAUCCAAAUCCAACCUGUAUAUCGGCAAUUAUUCUAGCAUUCAAACCUUGAUCUACCAGAAAAGGCAAGGCAAUUAAGGGGAGACCAUAAAUGAGUCCCUCUAAAAAAGAACACCAGCCACAGUGAGUCAAGAAUGCACCCACCGAGUCAUGGCUUAGUAUCUUCAACUGAGGUCCCCAACUCUUCCACACCACACCUCUGCCCUUAACUCUCUCUUCGAACCCGUCUGGUAAAACCACCGAGUAGGAAUCGUCUGACCCAGAUGUUCCUCAGUGCCCAAAAGAAGGGAACAUCAGAUAACUCCAAUCCAAGAGCCAACUCGUUGAUUUGAUCUUGACUCGACGUCACCUCGGUCCCUAAUGCUACGUAAACAACUGACUGUUUAUUUUGAUCAUCAAGCCAAGUUUUGAUUGAAACCCAUGAUUCGCUGUGAUCUUCUUCCACUUGUGGUGGCAUUAAACUUACUGGAAUCACUGGCUUAUGGUAAAGCUCUUCAAGUAAUUUCAACUAAUCCGGUUCAAACUCAUUGCAGUGUCUUAUGAAAACAGCUUCGGACCCCUCAAUUACUUUGCCAGUUCGAUAAAGAUCUGUAACUCCUGAUUCAUUCUUCUGAGUUGCUCCGACGAUCCAGUUUGCUUCGUACCGUCUAUAAGCUGCUUUUGUCUCAAACUUGAUCCACUUUGGUGGGAUCGUAAAAUCUUCUGCUCUUUUCCUCUCAUCAGAACCGUAAAUCAUGGUAUCUGGUGGUCCAAGGAAAGCUAAAAACCAAGCGUUUACGACGAAGGACAUAGCACGAGAAAUUCCUGUUAGAAUUGAAUAAAAAAUAUUGAAUAGAAGUAAUGAAAAAUAUUGAAUAGAAGCCUCUUCAUAUGUUGUAACUCAAGUAACUCAAGUUUUUUCAUGUUUUUAACUCAUUUAUUAAUGAAUAGUUUAACUCAUUGAUUAAUGAGCUAACUUUUCCUCCAUUGGUAUAAAUAGGAGUCUCUCUAGGUUGGAAAAUCACAAGUGAAAUGCAAGCUUCUUCCUCUAAGCAACAAUCUUCUUUUUCUCACUUUCAAGUUCUUCCUUAUGCUUAUAAUUUCUUUGUGAGAUAAAAUAUAUCACAGUUAAUUCGCAGGAGUUAACGUAGUGCAGCGUGAACUGAUAACUGAUUGUAUCCUGGGAAUCGAACACCGAUCAAAACAUCUUGCACUCCGUUGAGGCGGGGAAUUCAAUUUAAGGAAACUGUGAAUACACAGACUUUCGGUUUGAUUUGAUUCUCUAAUAUUUACCUACAAGCUUAAAUCGAAUUGACUUUAAUAAAUCAAAUUUUGUUCAUUAGUUUUUGUCAAUUUUCCCAAUUCAUGAUUUUUGCAUGAUUUCUAAUUCAUUUUAAAUGAUUGUUAAGUUGUUAAUAAUUUGGCAAAAUAAUCUGUUUUUCAAUUCUGCAGUUUUAUUUUCUGAACAGAUAACUUGAACUCGAAUUUAUAUAUUGUUGACAUGCUAAAAGUGUAGCCCAAUUCAAAUAGCCUAAAGAAUGAAGCCCAACUGGGCAAUUCAGGAUAAAGGCCCAAAUAGGGUUAUUAAUUAAUGCAGUGAAAGCCCACGAACGCGGUAACACCAUCGCCCAAACUUACAAGACGCCCAGGAUCUGAGCGAAUGAAGUGCCUUGCAAUCGCCCAGAGUUAUAACCCCAUUCUCGCCCAAACCUUCGAAUCGCCUAGGAUCUUAGCAAAGAUAAGGUGUUAUUGUUAUCCAAAAGUACAGUUAUCGAAGCAGUUAUUGGGUAAUCUUAUCAUGUUCCACGAUUCACGAAGUUCAGUUGAAGACGGUUGAUCGAUAAAGAGUAGUGGUAGCAUUUAGAGAUGACAGUUCCACGAUAAGUUGGCCACCAUGAAGAAAGUGGACAGUUAUAAAGCUAUUAAGCAAUUUCUAAGCAGUUGAUCACAAAAAGAGCAUCAAGGGAAUAUAAAAGGAAGAAAAGACAUAGAACAAAAAGCCCGAAUCAAACACUCUCAAACAAAGAAUAUGUAAUUUCAAUUUCUUAUUUUAGACUUAAACAUUUUAUUUAAGUACUCGUGUGUUUGCGCCUCUUGGAGGCAUUCUGUUUAAGUUCCAAUUGUAAAGUCAGGGAGGAGUCCAGUCUGUGAAACAAUUUGGCAGCCAGGUGGGACCUUGGUGUUUGGUGUUGAAGAUACAAAAGGUGAAAUAAUAUGCCUCAAAAAUCCGAUAAGGAAGCAACAAGUCAGAGAGGAGUCCAGUCUGUGAUCGAGCGAUAUGAGGAGCAGCAUAGCUCUCCAUGAACAGAUGGACAGAAUCAGAGCAAUCGCAGUCGUUACGAACCAAUGACAGAGUUGAGUCCUCGAAUAAUGUGUGCAUUACUCGGAGAACUCACACAAAAUGUCGUUGAACAGGUAAAUCUAUGAAAUAUUCAUAAUAUGGAAAGAUUUACCAAGAAUAGGAAUGCACAUUAUGACAACAUGGUCAAACAACUGAAUACUUUGAACGAAAUAAUGAAUAAGUUAGUAGGCCAAAUUUGUCAGCCAGUUGUGCCUCUUGCAAACCGCUUUCAAACUAGGACAAUUGUGGGAUAUAAUCCCCCGGUCCUAAGUUUAAAUCAAGGGGUAGAACCACCUUUUGACCCCUCUACUUCAAACCAAGGGGGUGGUGUAAUACCAAAUCAGAAUAGUGGCAAUGGUACAUCUAACUUGGGGGUAACCUAAAUGUAAGAGAUAAUGUCCUAAAUAAUGAGCAGAACACCCCACGUGUUAAUGAUGGAAUAAAUGUUCAGGCUAAUGGUAACAAUGACCCAAAUCAUGAUAACUUUGUUGCCAAUCAAGGACCAAACAUCAGGCCUCAAGCAAAUCAACCGGUCAACUAAUCUGUAGGAAUUCCAUAUGACCCCAACGUCAUGUUGAGGAAUCAGAUUAUGAAAAUCGUACAGGACCAGAUGGCUUUUGGAGUACGUCCUGUCAUUAGGCCGACUUACACAAAGUCAUAUCCUGAUUGGGUAGACCAAGCAUAUCCAUGGCCUAGAGGGUAUAAAGUGUCAGAAUUCGCACUGUUCUACUCUAGAACACAUAGGGCGAUUCACACUGCAAAGUGGUGACAUAACUGAUUAUCAUAAAAUGAGGUCGUUCCCUAGUUCGUUAACAGGAGUAGUCUUCUCCUGGUUCAUCAAUUUGCUAGCAAACUCUAUUCAAACAUGGAAACAAUUGGAGCAAUUGUUCCACGCUCAGUUUUAUACGACUGAGUCUGAAGUUACUUUGACCGAUUUGGCGAAUCUACGUCCAAUGCCAAACGAAUGGAUAGAAAGUUUUCUUCAAAGGUUCAAGACAGCAAGAAGUAAAUGUUUUGUACCUUUACCCGAAAAGGAGUUUGUCAAAAUCGCUCAAAGUUGUCUAAGCUUUGAUCUGAAGAAGAAGUUCCAAGAUAAGGAAUUUCCUGAUUUUUUCCAAUUGAGCGCGAACGUGAUUAGGUAUGAACGAUUAAUAAGAAAAGAAGAACAAAUGAAAAAUUCUAGCAAGGGGACUUAUUUUAGAGACCCAAAUUUUGAUGUUCAUACCAUUAAUGACGAGUAUUAUGAUCAAACCGAAAUGUGUUUGGCCGAAUUAGUUAAAGGAGACACAUAUACUUGUCCUAUAAUGGCUAAGCCUAGGUCGUCGGGCAAAGAUGAGCCUAUAAAAGAUGAAAACAUAAAAGUUAGAACGUUCUCGUUCGAUGUAACCAAAAUUGACCUUAUAUUUGAUAAAUUAUAUAAGGAUAAACAGAGUCCUUGCUUGAAGCUCCUUCGUCUGUGCAGCCAAACUGGUCAUCAAAGAGUCUUCAAUCAUGACUUCAGAAGAGAUUUCUUUCAGUUCGUCCUCAGCUUUGUUGAUCUCCAUGACCAAAGACUCUCUUUCAGAUACAGCGCGAAAAUAUUGAGUACUUUUGGCCUUCAGUUCGACAUUUUUGGCCAGCAAGGAGAGAAUCUCGGAAUGGACAAUUUUCAAUGUCGCUUUAAAAUCAGCAGAAAGAUUGAGCGACGGAAGUGUCAGUGCUUGCGCCAGCUUUGCACUCAAAUGCUUAAGCUUAUCCUUAUGUUUGGCAGCACUAGCCUGACCGAUGUCCAUAUCCAUAAAUGACACAUACUCAAAUAUCGACUGCUUGAGGAAAUUCAUAUUUUCCUCUGAAGAAGCAGAAGAACGACUGGUUGAAGCAGGCGAGACAUCUUAACUUGCCCCCAGGAAGUGAACAAGUCCUGGAUGGAACGUACAAUCCUAUCAGUAUCCUGCAAAGAAAGUCGCCAACAUCGAAGGUUUUCACUACAAUGAACAAAGUGGAAGUAAAAGUGAAGCAAAGAUUACCUCAUCAGCAAUCUUGGGAGGUGGCGUAUCCCCAGCCAAAUCUACCACCUGUGGCUCCACCACUUGAGAGGACCUCCCCUUGUCUGAGCGAGAAGACUUUGCCACAACGGGCAAACCCAUGGGAACAUCUACAGAACUCAAAAAGCAACAAGUCAAAAACCAAUAGUACAAGCAAAGGUAAAACAUCUAAAAAUGUAUUACCUUCUAGUUCGACGUUUGGGGGUUGACACCCUGGGAAGAAGGUGGCUCAUCCAUUGGUUGUGAUGAUGAUUUCGGGAUUGAAGGUUUCUCUUUAAGCGUAGUCCCUUCAUCAGUUGGUUUGGAUGAAGCAGGCUCGGCAGAGGGUGAUGGAGCAGGAGCUGCCAACACCAAAGCCUUCGAAGGAGAGGCUGAGCUUUUAUGAGAAAUCCGAAUAAACCAUUAGCACAUAGCAAAGUUUCAAGUAUAGAAAGGUAUGUUUGUGAGUAAACUAAUUUAACUACAUUUCUACUGACAAUGAGAGGAGUGUCAUCAUCAUCAUCCUCCAAAAUGGGAGAUGCUGAGGCUGACCGUUUGCGGCUUGGGGCACUUUUAGAUGCAGUAGGUUAGGCAGGAAGAGAAGUUAAUGGACGAAUAAACUGUUUAGCACGAGCAGAAGAGGAAAGACUCUUAAUGGACACAGGGGUGACCAAAACAGGGGAAGUAGAAGAAAUGUCCAACUGAUCCAGUGAAUGGAAAACGCGAUUGGCAUCAGUUGCAAACAAUCUGCGCUGCACUGAUGGCCAGAGUUGUUCAAAAAGGGGAUGCAUGGCAUGGCUAGGAUUGAAGGGAGCUAAUAAAAAGUUACUCGUCAAAAGAAUAUUGCGAGCAUCUAUAGCUUCUGCCUCUGUCUUAUUAAUGGUGUGGAAGCGAUCUAUCAAAUUUCUUAAAUAACAAGGGGGAACAGGCCAAGUUUGGCCAAAACCAAGUUGAUGAGCAAAAAAUUGGGGAGCAUAUAUCUCAACCCCAGCUUUGGCAUUGGUUCCAGUCAAAAUAUCAUGGAACAACUCCCUCCCGAUCAAAAACGAAACCCAAACGAGUAGAGAGGUGCUCACGCUGUCCAGAGUAGAUAGGGGUUGCACAUAAUCUAGAGUUAAAAAGGGAGGAAAAAGAAAGAAAGAAGGAAUUGAAUUCAAAGUAUAAAAGAAUGAAAAUAUGUUCCUUCUAGACAUAUUUACAGGGCUCAGUGGACCAAUAGCUAACCCAUAGCAGCUAGCAGAAGGAAGAGAAAAGGAUAGAGCACCAAGUGAUGAAAAAUAGGCUCUCAACCACAUUAGAGUGAACCAAAGAGGCCCAAUGCCAGUAGGAGAUGCACCAUUCUUCAAUUAGAAUUGGAAAGAAGCCAUGCCUCUAUAGAGGGCAGCCAAAAAGAAAGAAUACAAAUUCUGCGCUAUGGGUAAAUAGCUCAUGGAAGGCUUCAUGCUUGGCACACACAGAACAUAUUUAUAAAGCCAAAUCUGAAUAAAGGCCACACGGUCAGCAUGGGAAGGCUCAGCGCUCGAGUGAUUAUAACAGCUUUGCAGACUUGAAUAGGACUCGGUGAGUUUGCUGUCAAAUUUUGGAGCGACACCAGAAAUCAAAAUACCAGGGAAAAUGGUAUCGCCCAAAGGUGGCAAGCUUAUUGAGGCCCCAACAUCCCUUAAAGUAAUGGAUAUGGGACCAAGAGGAAAACAAAAGUAUUAUACUUAGAGGACCAAAAACUUAAAGUAAUAGGAAAAAGUGCUGAAUCAAAAAUAGGGGGUUGAAGAGAGAUUUCUAACAAAUCAGAAAUCCAGGCACUAUCAAAAAUUGUCUUGGUAGGACCAUGAUCGACAAGGUGAGCAUCCCAUCUACAGAAAACGACAUCAGAUUUAGGCCAAGUGCGAAUACCUCUUUCGCGAAGCGGCCUCAGCGGCAAAGAGUUUAGAAAUAGAGGGCCUUGAGUACAAGGGAACAGCUGGCCCACCGCCACUUGUUCGACGGCCUCGACGUUGUUGAAUGAAGGACCUAGAAAAAACUCAUUGAGUUCGGCAUUGGCUGGUGUAAGGAAGUUCGGAGUUAUAUAUGGCCGAGUGAGGAUUUUCUGGAAGUCUUCAAAACUGAAAGAGUCACCAGAUUGGGAUUGUGAAGCAGCCAUUAGGAACGAAAUAAAGUUUUGUUAAAGUUUGCUUGAGAAACAUAGCAGAGAAGCAAGAAGAUGAACAAUAAUAUUGUGAGAGAGAAGCACAGAACAAUGAGGCGUGAUUUAGUAGUGCGAUAAAAUGGCGUGUAUUUGGGGGUUAUAAAGGUUUGCAACGUCCCACCUUUUUAGGCUAUGGAAGAAAAUAAUGAUUGAAAUUCUUGGGAAUUUCAAAUGUUAUUGGGAAACACAAAGUGAAUAUGGCAAAAAUUAAUAAUUGGUAUUAAUUCUGCCAUAUUGGGGAUAAUUGUUGACAUUCUAAAAGUGUAGCCCAAUUUGAAUAGCCCAAAGAAUGAAGCCCAACUGGGCAAUUCAGGAUAAAUACCCAAAUAUGGUUAUUAAUGAAUGCAGUGAAAGUCCACGAACGCGGUAACACCAUCGCCCAAACUUACAAGACGCCCAGGAUCUGAGCGAAUGAAGUGCCUUGUAAUCGCCCAGAGUUAUAACCCCGUUCUCGCCCAAACCUUCGAAUUGCCCAGAAUCUUAGCAAACAUAAGGUGUUAUGGUUAUCCAAAAGUACAGUUAUUGAAGCAGUUAUUGGGUAAUCUUAUCAAGUUCCACGAUUCAAGAAGUUCAAUUGAAGACAGUUGAACGACAAAGAGUAGUGGCCGUAUUUAGAGACGGCAGUUCCACGAUAAGUUGGUCACUAUGAAGAAAGUUGGCAAUUAUAAAACAAUUAAGCUGUUUCUAAGCGGUUGAUCACAAAGAGAGCAUCAAGGGAAUAUAAAAGGAAGAAAAGACAUAGAGCAAAAAGCCCGAAUCAAACACUCUCAAAUAGAGAAUAUGUAAUUUCAAUUUCUUAGUUUAGACUUAAACAUUUAAUUUCAGUACUCGUGUACUUGCGCCCAUUGGAGACAUUCUGUUUAAGUUCCAAUUGUAAAGUCAUUGCCAAUAAAACACCCCUUUUUAGGACUUUGUCUCAAGAAGUUUGUCCUUUACACAAUCGUCUGAUCCCUUUUUAAUUAUUAGUGACUACCCGCGCGAAACAUAUAUAACUUUACAAACUUAUAAUUAUUCUAAAUUAUUUGUUACUUGUUCCGAUUCAAUGGCAUCACAUGGAAAUAACGAUGUGAACAACGGAAGCAACAUUGUUGGUAUCCAUGUACCAAAUCCUGCAAUGACCGUUGUUAACCCUAUGGAGACCACGACUGACAUUUCUCCCAUUAACGGGAUAAUUGGAGGUGGGAUUCCUCAUGUUGAAGUGAACCCAAGUUUGCCUUCGGCCGCGGCCUCGACAAUCUAGUUUGGCACAGUACCUUUGCCAGUACCUAGGGCGACACCUUUGCCAUCGUUUCUAGCUCCAUUUUCGGUGAAUCAUGCAAUUCAACCGAAUAAGUUUGCUGGUACUGAUUUUAAGAUAUGACAGAAUAAGAUGGUUUUCUAUCUCACUACGUUGGGUCUUGCAUGUUUUCUUACUGAGGAUGCCCCUAUCGUGGCUGAAAACGACACUGAGUGCAUAAGCGUGCAGCUUGGAACGCUUGGAAAAGUGCUGAUUUUUUGUGCCGCAACUAUGUCUUGGAUGGCCUACAGAAUUCUCUGUAUCACUAUAUGUAGUAAAGAAGUCUGCUAAGGAGCUCUGGGAGUCCUUAGAAAAGAAAUACAAGCCCGAGGAUGCCGGAUCUAAGAAAUUCUUAGCCAGUCGGUGUAUGAAUUUCGAAAUGGUUGAUUCACGUUCAGUGGUGAGCCAAGUACAGGAGAUCAAGUGCUUUUGCAAGAAAUGCAUGCUGAGGGUCUGACCAUGUCAGAAUCUCUACCGGUGGCUACUGCUAUUCACAAGCUACCUCCUCAGUGGAAGGCUUUUAAAAGCUAUUUGCAGCAUAAGAGGAAAGAGAUGUCUUUCGAGGAUUUAAUUAUCAAGCUGCGCAUUGAGGAGGAUAACAAACGGGCUGAACGUAAGUCAGAGAAUUCUUACUCUGAGAAGGCUAAUGUAUUGGAGUACGGCCAAAGUUCUGGUACUAAGAAAGUUCACUCCUUUAAAGCCAAACAGGGUAACAGAAAUCGAAAAGAUAAAAAAAAGGCUACGAAAGGGUCUUAGUUGAAGCCUGCAUGUGGGGUAGGAAAGAAACCUAAGUUCCAGCUCAAUGGAAACUGCUUCAAUUGUCACAAAGUUGGGCAUCGAUCAGUAGACUGUCGUCGGCCUCGGAGGGAUAAUAAGCAGCGUUCUCAUGCUAAUAUGGUUGGAAAUGAGAGAGACCAUCUCUCAAAUGAAAUUUUUGAGCUAAACCUCACGGUGGUGAUUAGUGAGGUUAACCUGGUGGGGUCUAACCCAAAGGAGUGGUGGCUGGACACUAGGGUCACUUGCCAUGUCUACUCCAACAGGAGCAUAUUCACUACUUUUGCACCAGUUACAAAUGAUGAAAAAUUGUUCAUGGGAAACUCUGCAACUUCUGAAGUGCUUGGUAAAGGCAAGGUAAUCCUGAAGACGACAUCUGGCAAAGAGCCUGUUUAAAUUGAAUGUAAUUGCUGUAACCCUAACUGUUAUGAGUAAUGAGAAAACUCCUUCUGUUUACUUGCUUGAGUCUCCUAAUAUGUGGCAUGGUAGAUUAGGUCACGUAAAUUACAAUACUUUACGUAGACUAAGCAAACUAAAUUACUUGCCUAGGUUUCAAAUUGAUUCAAAUCAUAAAUGUGAAACAUGUGUGGAAUCUAAGCUUACUAGGUCUUCAUUUCAUUGUAUUGAAAGAAGUAUCGAGCCAUUGGGACUGGUCCAUAGUGAUGUAUGUGACUUGAAAUCUGUCCAAACAUGAGACGGUAAUAAGUAUUUUAUUACUUUUGUCGACGAUAGCACGAAAUAUUGUUAUGUGUACUUGCUUAAAAGCAAAGACGAAGCUAUCGAUAAAUUCAUUCUUUAUAAGAAUGAAGUUGAAAAUCAACUUAGUAAGAAAAUAAAGGUGCUACGUAGUGAUCGUAGUGGUGAAUAUGAAUUACCAUUUGGUGAGUUUUGUGCUAAACAUGGAAUAAUUUACCAAACUACUGCACCUUAUUCACCUCAGCAGAACGAAAUUGCUGAGCGUAAGAAUAUAACUUUAAAAGAAAUGAUGAAUGUUAUGUUGAUUAGUUCUGGAUUACCACAGAACAUGUGGAGAGAAGCUAUUCUUUCCGCAAAUUACAUCUUGAAUAAAGUGUUGAAAAAGAAUAUGGAUAAGACUCCGCAUGAACUUUGGACAAAUCGGACACCUUCAUAUAAAUACUUACGAAUGUGGGGGUGUCUUGCUAAAGUUGUGGUGCCUCUUCCUAAGAAGGUCAAGAUUGGACCUAAGACAGUGGAAUGUGUAUUCAUUGGUUAUGCACAAAAUAGUAGUGCAUAUAGGUUCCUUGUACAUUAUUCGAAUGUACCUGAUAUUCAUUCGAACACGAUUAUGGAGUCUAGGAAUGCUCAAUUCUUUGAGAAUAUAUUUUCUUGUAAGUCUUCUAAACAGUUAGCUCCUAUUAAACAGACAAUGGAAUCUUCUGCUUCUGGCAGUAGUAAAGAUCCAGUUGAAAAAAGGUGAGGAUGAGCCUAAACGGAGCAAAAUGACCAAAACUUCUAAGACGUUUGGCCCUGAUUUUCUCACAUAUUUGAUGGAGAAUGAUCCUCGAAGCUAUAAAGAAGCUAUAUCUUCUCCAGAUGGUCAUUUGUGGAAAGAAGCCAUCAAAAGUGAAAUCGAUUCCAUUCUACAGAAUCAUACCUGGGAGUUAGUAGAUCUUCCACCGGGCUGUAAGCCUUUGGGCUACAAGUGGAUCUUCAAGAAGAAGAUGAAAGCGGACGACUCCAUUGAUAAAUAUAAAUCUCAGCUAGUAAUCAAAGGUUAUAAGCAAAAUGAAGGCUUAGAUUACUUUGAUACUUAUUCUCAUGUGUCAAGAAUAACUUCUAUUCGGAUGAUAAUUGCUAUUGCGGCCUUGCUAAAUCUGGAAAUACAUCAGAUGGAUGUAAAAACAGCUUUUCUAAAUGGAGAUUUGAAUGAAGAAAUCUACAUGGAGCAACCAGAGGGGUUUACAGCUCUAGGUCAAGAAAGGAAAGUUUGUAGACUGGUUAAAUCGCUAUAUGGUUUGAAGCAAGCACCGAAGCAAUGUCAUGAGAAAUUUGAUAAUGCUAUGCUUUCUAGUGGUUUUAGAAUCAACGAGUGUGACAAAUAUGUAUAUGUCAAGGACACUAAUGAUGAAUAUGUUAUAUUAGGUCUAUACGUCGACGACAUGCUCAUUGUCGGUAGCUCUGACAAGAUUAUCAAAGCCACUAAGAAUAUGUUAAACUCAAAGUUUGACAUGAAAGAUAUGGGUCUCAUGGAUGUCAUUUUGGGAGUAAAAAUUACUUGAACACCAAAUGGACUUGUGUUAUCUCCAUCUCAUUACAUUGAUAAGAUACUAGACAAGUUCAACAAGUCAGACACCACUGUGACCAAGACUUCAGUGGAUUUGAGUCUCCAUUUAUCCAAGAACACUGAUGAUGGUGUAUCACAGUUAGAAUAUUCUCGGAUAAUUGGGAGUUUAAUGUAUUUAAUGACUUGUAUGAGACCGGAUAUAGCAUACUCAGUUAGCAGAUUGAGUCGCUAUACGAGUAACCCAAGUGCUGUCCACUGAAAAGCCAUUUUUAGGGUGCUCCAUUAUUUAAGGCACACUCGUGAUUUUGAACUACAAUAUUCUAGAAACCCUGCAGUAAUCGAAGGGUAUGCUGAUACAAAUUGGAUAUCAGAUAUGUCAGAUACCAAGUCUAUUAGUAGAUAUUUCUUCAUUCUAGAUACCAAGUCUCUUGAAAAUCGUCUGAACAAACUUGCAUCACAAGAUCUACAAUGGAAUCAGAGUUCAUCGCUUUGGACAAAGCAACUGGAGAAGCAGAGUGGCUUCACCAGUUUGUUGAGGAUAUUCCAAGAUGGUCAAAGCCUGUGCCUGCAAUUUGUGUUUAUUGCGAUAAUCAAUCAACAAUUGGCAGGGCAUAGAGCAAUAUGUAUAAUGGUAAGUCUUGCCAUAUUCGAAGACGACACAAUACCAUUCGACAACAACUCUCACAAGGUAUUAUCACUCUGAACUACGUGAAGUCAAAGGAUAAUAUUGCGGAUCCGCUAAUCAAAGGGCUAACUCGAGAGCUAGUUGUAAAAGUAUCGAGGGGAAUGGGCUUGCAGCCUAUGACGUUGAAAGGUAUCGUGGUGGAAACCCAACCUAGUGGAAUGGAGAUCCCAGGAUCUAGGUUCAAAGGGACAACUAAAACAUGUAUAUUAUUGUAAAUCACUGAAAAUGUUCUCUUUCCACUCAUUCCUAUGGUGCUCACAUUGAUUGGAAGAUGCAGGUUAAGCUAUGCUUUUAAUGACCAUUAAUCGUUGUUGUGAAAAACUGAGUUAAGAGGUCACCUAUGUGAGUGUGAAGUGGGGCCGCUUCUAUAAGGAUUGGCAAGGCUACAUCCUUGAAAAAACACUUGCAGAACUAGGCGACGUGUUCAUGGCCAAAACAAACACAACAGUAAGAACUAUGUUGUGACUAGGAUGGUCCUGUGUGAGAUCUAUUGACUUGGUUUACACAAAUGGCGAAAUAGUUCAAGACAUCAGGUCCACUGGUUUGCUAGUAAUUCCCAAUAGGUUUCACAAGGGAAGGUUCAAAGCUAAAUGCUACAUAUCCUAUGCAGGAUUGAUUCGUUUUACUCUCUCUUUCCUCUUGAAUUUUAGUAUCCAUUUUUUAUUCAUAUGGGGGAUUGUUAGAAUUGAAUGAAAAAUAUUGAAUAGAAGUAAUGAAAAAUAUUGAAUAGAAGUCUCUUCAUAUGUUGUAACUCAAGUAACUCAAGUCCUUUCAUUUUUUAACUUCUUUAUCAAUGAAUGGUUUAACUCCUUGAUUAAUGAGUUAGCUUUUCCUCCAUUGGUAUAAAUAGGAGUCUCUCUAGGUUGGAAAAUCACAAGUGAAAUGCAAGCUUCUUCCUCUAAGCAACAAUCUUCUUUUUCGCACUUUCAAGUUCUUCCUUGUACUUAUAAUUUCUUUGUGAGAUAGAGUAUAUCACAACUAGUUCGCAGGCGGUUAACAUAGUGCAGCGUGAACCGACAACUGAUUAUAUACUGGGAAUUGAACACCGAUUAAAACCUCUUGCACUUCGGUGAGGCGGCGAAUUCGAUUUAAGGAAACUGUGAAUACACAGGCCUUCGGUUUGAUUUGAUUCUCUAAAAUUUACCUACAAUUCCAAGUCUUGCCGCGACUAGAGGCAACCAGUGUGGAGCAAAAUCAUAUAAAAUCCAAUUGGGAGCUGAGUCUUCCAAGAAACGAGUCAAUCCAGUUUCCAUUCCAUCAAAUGCUUUCUUCAAAUAAGGCAUAUCUUCAUUUUUGAUAUCCAUGGUCGCCUCUGCAGAUUCAGGGAGUUGUUCAACCUUAGGCAAUGGAAUUUUAAUGAAGGUUAUGGAAGUAGCUAAAUGAGAAGGGAUUUUUGGGAGACGAUCAAUAUUUCUUGAAGCGGAAACAAAUGAGAUUUUGUGGCCCUUUUGAGCUAAGAAUUUGGAGAGCUGAAGGAAUGGAAUGAUGCGCCCAAAAGUCAGCCAUGGGAACAUCAAUGCAUGUAAUUUGGAAUCCAUUGUUGCAGUAAUUUUCACUGGUGGUGAUUUGUAUAUAUAAGGGAGUGAGCAUUGCAAUUCAACUCAACUCAACUCAACUCAACUGAGUUACUACCCAAACCAAAAGGAAGACUUCUUCACAAGGCACUGAGACCCAACCUUUGAAAUUGAUGUGGCUGAGAUUUGCCCGAAACAAUCCCUUUUAUCUUAGGUCAAGGGAUGUUGAGGCUCAGGUAAUUCAAUCAUGAUUUGUCACAUUAACGUCGGUACAAUUUUUCACGUCACUUUAUUCGAGUAGAGAACGUUUAGUUUAUUAUUAUUCCUUCUAAAAUAGAAUGAACAGCGAGAAUCAUGUGGUGCCAUUUGCGAUGGUGAAAGAAGUUGUCUCUAUUCUUCUUGAUAAUGAUGCGCAAGCAAUUUUAGACUUUUACCGACUCUGAAGGCGGCAACAUAGCCCUUGUUUGCCUCCAUUUUAGCCAUUGUUUGGAGAUCUUUAAUUUAGUCCUGUUUGAUUUCCAUUUUUAUCUUUCUAUUUUUUAAUCACACAAUUUUCAUUAAAAUAAUAUUAUACGUAAAUAAAAAAAAUUUCUUUAUUUUUCAUUCAUACAUUUUCUAUCAAUUUAUUAUUUUAAAAUUCAUUUUUUCAGCAAAAUGGGUGUCAAGCACCCUCUUAUUUUCUUAUAAUCAUUUCUAACUACAUAUUUAUACAAUAAAAUAUUUUACAAAUAAUUUCAACAAAUUUCACCUUUUAACGAUAAAUUCUUAAAAAAAAAAAUUACUAUUUAGAACAUAGCCUUUUCAAAUUAAAGGCCACCAAACAUGGGCUUGGUGAGGUUUUGAGAAAAAAAUGUAUUUUGAAAUGAUAAUCUUUUUGAGAUUGUAUAUGAUUAAUGGGGAGUGUUACAUGUACAUAAUUGUCUACAUAAUGAUAUUCAUAAUUACACGUGAUAUUGGAUCCAAUUUUUAAUUCAAAUCUCACACUUGCACAUCAAUAAUCGGAUGAUUGUCACAUCACAUUAUGGACACCGUUAUGUGUAAUAAUUAUGUACAAAUAGAAUUUUACAUGAUUAAUAAGUAAGAAAAUAUUUUGAAUUUACACAGAACGUUAUUUUAUUGAAGGAUGUGUGAUUAAAAAGAAAAAUAUAUUAAAUUUUUAAUGGAACCCACGGGAGUACUGUAAUAAAAGGAAAAUGACGUUUUCCAUUUUAGCACGUUUGAUUUCUAUCAAUACACUUACUCGAAUCAAAUCGAGCUUUCAGUUGGAGUCUUCUUUAACUUUAAAUUGAAUAGUUGUAUUAGCAUUGAUUUUUAGACCCAGAAUCAAUGCUAUAUACCCACGUUAGUAUUUAAACAGUCUAAAUAUUUCUCUAAAAGAGAGCAGGUUUGCUGAUUUUUUAUUCAAUUUUAGAAUUUGGGGUUUUAUUGCUGUAAUUGAAAAUACGGAGUAAGGCUAGAGGGAGUGAUUCACGUACGUUUUGUUGAAUGAUUUUAUUAGACAAUUUGUUAUUUGUUAUUUUAAAUUUAGAUCAUGUUUAUAAAUUUGUGUUAAGAUGCAAUGCAACCUGUCAUUUAUUAGUUUAUUGUGUUAUUUCAUACACUAGAAGAAUAAAAAUAGUUGUUAGAUUUUGAACAUAUCAAAAAGAAUAAUGUUAUUCGCAAUCGCUCACUACAACAUUCGCCCUCCAUAAUAUACACAUGUUAGGUUAUUAUUAAUAUAUCAAGGGCUUGUUUGACCCUUUUUUUUUUUCAAAAAUGCAUUUUGUAAUAGUGUUAUGAUGAUAAUAUGUAAUUAAAAAAUAAGAAAAAUUUUGUGGUUGUGUAUAAUAUUAUUUUAUUAAAAAAUAUGUGACUAAAAUAUGGUCAAAUCACUGUUCAAUAAUAUAUUUUGAUAAAAAGUAUGGUUCAAACAAAGGUCCAAUAUUCACAUAUCAUGUGUAUGUUAGAUAGAACCACUGUUGUAAUGAACAGUUACUAAUAACAAUAUUCUAUUGAAAAAGAGGUGUGCUAUAGGUACAUAAAACGAUAAAUAAUGGUGUCCCCUCACAUGUGACGGGACCAACUGAGCUUAGGUGGGCCCGGCAUAUGUACCACAAGGGUUUUUCAUUGAAAAUUACCAAUCCCAUGAUUGAAAUUGGAACAAUGAUUAGAUAGUCAAUUUUCUUUAAAAUUUCUGUUCAUAAGUUUGACAAUAACGAUGAAAACAAGUCUUAAUUUUAUAUUGUAAAAUGGCACUUUCUUCAAGAGAUAUGUCACGACUCUUGGUCCAUUUGAGCCCACCCACGUGACCUUUUCUUUUUUUUUUUUUUUUUUUUUUUUUUACAAGGUGUCCGGGCUUGCGUCCGACUAGAUCCUUGUCCCUGAACCUCCGACCCCUCAGCAGCUCAGGGAGGUAAAUCGCAGGAUGUGCCCUUGUUGGCUCCCAAGUUCUCACAACUCAUUUGAACUCCUUCUACAAAGAGAGCUCUCUUCACUGGGCGUUUGUUCACACCAAUGGCUUCCUCUCCAUAUGGCUCCCAGUGUUAACUCUAGGAAUCGAACUCCCCACCCUUACUUCCAGCAUCCCAGUGAAGUGAUUGUUCCACCAACUCGGAUGUGCCCUGGGGGCCCACCCACGUGUCCUUAUUAUUAUGCAGUGCAGUCAGGGGCGAAUCUAGGGUCAAAGUUCAGCAAGGGCGAAAGUUGACCGUCGACGAUUGUAAUAGUCCGAUCAUUUAUGAAAAUAUGGUUACAUAAUAUUAAAAGUUCUUCAAUAUAUACGUAAAUAAACUCAAACGUUUUCUCAAUCAAAAAAGUACCAAGUACACAUGAGUUGAAUUGAGCAGCCAACAUCUUCGCAAUUAAUUUUUUUCCAUUAUCCUAAUUUCCUAAACAUAAAUUCCCAAAUCAAUAAUCAUAAGAUUCAUAACAUAAAUUACUUAUCAUAAAUCACAAUUUUCAAAAAUAAUUUCGUAAACAUAAAUUCCCAAAUCAAUAAUCAUUCCUUAUUAAAACAUAAAUUACGUAUCAUAAAUCACAAUUCACAAACAUAAUUUCGUAAACAUAAAUUCACAAAUCAAUAAUCAUAAUUCAUAAAUCGUAAAUUACUUAUCAUAAAUCACAAUUCGCAAACAUAAUUUUGUAAACAUAAAUUCUCGAAACAAUAAGUCAAUAAUCAUAACAUAAUGAACAAUUUAACAUUCAUCACUCAACAUCAACAACUCAAGUAGCCAACGAAAUUAAACAAAAAUGAAACCAAAAAAAAAGGAGAGAAAGAGUCACCAGUCACCAUACUCGGACUCGGCUCGGUAGAAGAUAGCAAAAAUUGCAAAACACGUCCUCUUCAGUCUCCUCUAGAAGAACGCAGAAAUUGCAAAACAUGUCCUCUCCAGUCUCCUCUGUGCAGCAUAAUAGAUGAAAUGAGCAUCCUUACUUAUUAAAUUAUUAAUUAUAACUUUCUAAUUCUAGUAAAUUGCACAAAAAAUAAAUCAAAAUUUUUAGACAAAUCACAUAUUCACAGAUGGAAUACCUUAAGGAAAUUUCGUGUUGAUUAUUGUAAAAUUUAAAUUCGGUAAUUAUCAUAAACUUUCACAGUGUGUUAAGUGUGUUGAUUAGAUGUCUAAUAAAACUAUAACUUACGCAAAUUUUUUUGAAAGCAGAGAUUCUGAAAUUGCAUCAAAUUUCUAAUGAAUCUAUGCUACCUACAGCCUACCUGCCUUGCCUCUUCUUCGACUUCGAAUGGAAAUUGGAAUUAUAGAAUGGAGAUGGAGUGCCGAGUGUGUCGUGUGAAUUAGAGAGUGGAGAAGGGAGGAAAAGGGUUUGGCUUUCUUUCACGAUUUGGGAAUUGGGGGAAUUUGGAUUCUUUCUUGACUGCUUUUGCAAAAAAAUGGUUUCAGCAAGUAUAGUUUGGGCCAAUUCCAAUUACAUAUGAGAAUUCGGUAUUUGGGCUAAACAAAAAUUGGCCCAAUGGCCAACAAUUACCUCAUUCACCUCAGGCUUUAGCAAUACAGCCCAAUUGCCCAGACCAAAAAAAGAAGACGAAGAAACGGGGCGUCUUCUCCUUCUAUCUGUCAUCUUCCUCUCCCUCCAGUCGGCUCUGCAAUAUAGCCCAAUUGCCCAGACCAAAAAAAGAAGAAGAAACGGGGUCGUCUUCUCCUUCUAUCUGUCAUCUUCCUCCCCCUCCAGUCCGCUCUGCAAUUUGCUACGCCUAUUGACGGUUCUGAAGAUUCCCGCGGAGUUAGCACGCGCGGCCGCGCCCCCCUCGCCAAGUGCUGGUUUCGCGCCUGAGUGCGGUGCAUGAUGACUUGGACACUGCCAGCAAAACACGUGCACGGAAGCAACUAGGACUAAAAACGAUUUAUACCUUCGACUCGUCCAAAGUUCUAUAUUUGUUUUAUUUUAGCGUUUUAAGAUUUUGACGGAAAUCUUGAGACAACAACGAUAAUAUCCUAAAAUUUUGGCCAAGAUUUUGAUCCAAUUAUGAGCCAAAAUUUGGAGAAUUUGUGUCAGAUUCUCGUUAUCUAUCUCCCAGUUAAUCAUGUUAUAGAUACAUAUAUAAUAGUUAAUAUAAUUCUUGACAUAAUAUCACGUAGGGAUGUCAACGAGCCGACUCGUGAGCCAAAAUUUUAGGCUCGGGCUCAACUCGAGUAAAACAUCUGAGCUUUUUUUUCGAGCCCGAUUCGGACCGAGCAAAAGAUCGGCAAAAAAAUUAUGCUCGACUCGAGCUUUCGGCUCGAAUUUUGUUUGGUUUUGAAUUUUUUUAAUUAAAAAUAGUAGCUUAUUUAAGCUGCCAUUUAAGUCAGCAGGUUGCUGCCUGCUGCCCAAUUUUUUUUUUUUAAUUAAAUAUAUGCUCGGUUGUCCCGAGCCGACAAUCGAGCCGGCAAGCUAUACGGGUCGGCUCGGAUUUUGCCCGGCACCUAAAAGUGGGGCUCGACCCGAGCCUCGAGCCGGGCGGGCUUGAGCUUUUUUCGAGCUGAGCUGACGAAUCCGAUUGCCAUCCCUAAUAUCACUUGAUAACUUAUCAUUUGACUAUUUAAAACAUAUUCAACUUUUUCAAUCAAUUAAAGGGCAUGUUCUAAAUUAAGGACCCGUUUGAUUGUAAAGAUGAAAUUUGGGUGGAAAAAAAUGAAUUAUAAAGAAUUGAAUUGCUUAGAAAUUGUUUUACUUGGAAUUGUCAAUUUAUUGUGUUUGAUUGGUUUAAUUUUUAAAUAAAAAUGUUGAAAUAAUUUUUUUUGUAUUCGUUUGACUUUGUUUUACAUGAAAAUUGUCAAUUAAAGGGAUAUAAUUUAUUGAAUUUGUUUCCAUUGCAAAAAAAAAAAAAAAUGAAUAAAGCCAACAAAAUCAUUUAUCUUUUAGUGUUCAUUUGACUUUAAUUUAAAUGAAAAUUGUCAAUUAAAGGGAUAUAAUUUAUUGAAUUUGUUUCCAUUGCAAAAAAAAAAAAAAAUGAAUAAAGCCAACAAAAUCAUUUAUCUUUUGGUGUUCACUUGACUUUAAUUUAAAUGAAAAUUGUCAAUUAAAGAAAAAUAUUUUUUUACAGUUCGAGAUAGAAUUUGUUUCCAUUACCCAAAAAAAACAAUAAACUAAGCAACAACCAAGAAAACCAAUUCUCAGCUAACCCACAGGAGUACAAAUUCCUCAUUUUCGUGGAAAACAAGGUCACAUGCCGGAAAACAAAUUGCCAGGAAAAUAUUACCUAUCAAACAUAACAAAAAGUGGAAAAUGACAUUUUCAAUUCCAACUUCCAUGGAAAAUAUAGCGUAUCAAACGGAGCCUAAGAUUUUAAUAAAUUUUAAAAGAUUAUAAAUUCUUAUGAAUUCCAUGGAUUUGAAUGGAUUCUUACAAAUUUCAUAAGAAUCUCAUCAAAUGUGGUGAAAUUUCAAAAGAUUUGGUAAUAUGUACUUUUUAAGUUUUAAGCUUACAAUCCAUCCAAAUAUUCUAAAAUCCUUCGAUUAAUGAAACUUUUACAAAUCCACUAGUUAUUGAGUAUACUUAAAUGUUAAUAGAUUUUAUUAAAUUUUAUUAAAAUCUCAAUUGGAGAUACUUAAAUUUAAUGAAUUUUGUUAAAAUAUAUUAAAAUCUCAAUUGAAGAAACCUAAAUUUAGAAUGACUUAUUAAAUCCAUCACAAUUUUAAUUGAAGGCACCCUCCAAAUCUUGUCAACACCUAUUAUGUAACUAUGUUUAUCACCUACUUUUGGACAAGGUAACAUUUUUCAUCUCCCAGUACAGUAGAUCUUCAAAUCAGGUUCUUUGAAACAUAAAUUGAUUAACACAAGAGGGGGUGAAUAUUGAUUUCACUUUGAUCAUUAUAUCUGCCUGUAACUAAUAAAGAGAAUAAUUAGGGGAGCAAAACAACUCUCUUUAAAGAACUCGAAAAAAUAGUCUCGUUACUACAGAAGAAGGGAUGUCUCCCCUCACAGUGAUCAAGAUCGGACGACUGUUUACAAAAGGUGUAGUGUCUAUCUUUGAAAAAGGAACUGCGGAGGGAAAGCUCCACACUGGAUAGCACAAAGCAUUUGGGCACAUGCUUUGACUAAGAGGCGAAACAAACGUUAAUAUAACCAUCCAAGAGCAAUUUGAUUGGUCUUAAUUUAUUGUCAAGAUGAGUGCGAAAUCGAACAAGCUUUAUUACCAAUUUCGAUGUGUAAAGAUUUAAGAAAGUUCAUCUGCGUACUCAUUUUAGUAUUUAAGAAAGUCAAAAUUUAUUAUAAUCCACGAAAGAAAGAAAUAUUUAAAAAUUUAUUUUUUCUAAUAACGUAUAACAUGUCAUUUGUAAAAAAUAUCGAAGACGGAGAAAUCAAACCGUACCAAAAUGUUUCUAUGAAUUGAAAAUGAUGAUAAUUUAAACGAGGACAAAGAUUCUCUCUCGGUAGUGUAAUACUAAUUUUAGAAGUUCGAUUCAAACAUCAUCAACAUCAUUUUUUGGCAGUAGUAUUAUGAAAAAGACGACUGACUUUUCGGAAAAUUAUCGUAAACAAAAAUUGGCGAGAAUCUAACCAACAUUUGAUGAAACAGGGUAGUAUGAGUCGAGGUCGAAUAACCUCACGUGGUGCUUCAAGUCGAGCUUGACGGUACAGAGUCGAAUGACUUAACUCAUUUAACACUCCUAGAUAUAAUUGACCCAUUGAGCCCAUUUGAUUUUUAACACUAGAUCCAUGUUACUGUUCAUUUAAACAAAUUUAGUCCUGAUCGAACAACCUUUAAAUAUGAUCAAUUCACAUUUAUCGUGCAAAAUUGAAUGAUUCCGAAAUUGAAUAUUCUAUUUUUUACAGUGUAAACUAAAAUUCUUGGAUGUCAAAAGGAUUGUCUUGUCUUGAUUAUUUAUUGUUCUUUCUCCUGUAGAUUUCAGAAUAUAUAAUGAUCAAUAACAACGUUCUUGGAUGUCAAAAUUAAGUGUAAAGGCAGGACCACACGAUAUUAAAAUCUAGAAACAAGAAGACCUCAAUCGAACAAAAAUAAAUUGCAGAAAAUUAAAGGAACACAAAGGAAUUAUUUCGGCCUAAGCCCCGGAGGUUCGGCGACCACAUCUAAUGCCUACAUCCCCGUUGAGCAUCCAAAAAUUUGGAAUAUGCUUGGUUGCACUAAACAGCCAAAAAUGGCAACAGAUUUACAGAUUGUUCAGAGAGAUGAAAAUGAGACUUAUCUCUCAAAUAUAGCAUUGGAUCUACAGAGUUCACUCAGAUCUCAGCCCACAAAACCUUCGAACACCACCAAAAUGAUACAACAAAGAAAUCACUCAGAUUUCUUAACCAUUCACACAUAAUACAAUAAUCGAAGGAAGAUCUCACUAUACUCUAUGUAAAAUCAGAGAUUUUACACAUGAGACAUUCAAAGAGAAUCAACAUCUCUCAAAUCGCCAAUAUUUUUCUGUCUGAAAACCCUAGAGUCGAGAGCAAGAUGAAGGGUUGUGUCUGACGUUCCAGAAGGCUCCAUCGUUUUAACAAAGGGUAUAUGAACCGGUUUAAUCCAACAUCCAGAGAUAGUCCACGUGUUGGCCAUUCAGUAAAGUGUCAACACUUAUUAAAUUGCGUUUGAUAAAAACAUGGUUUUAUCACAAAUCAAAUUCUGGAAGCAUUAAAUCAACGAGAACAGGGUUCGACUCCAACAAUCUCUACCUUGCUGCCAGAAUUUGAGCUAUUAGUGCAGCCAGGAGCAUGAUCUUACGUCUUUUUCAUUUGCUUCAAGUACCUGUAUACGAAUCACAAAGAAUCAACAGAUAAAAGUUUCAAGCAGUUCAAGAAUUUGUUUAAAGGAAUUACUUUUGUACCCAUAUCAGAUGGAUUAAACCGAGUAGAAACUUUUUCAAUCUUAAUUUCACCUUUUGAGAUUAUAUCUCUUAUAAAAUGAUAUUUAACAUCAAUAUGUUUUGACCUAUCAUGGAACAUGGGAUUUUUACUUGGGUGAAUAGCACUUUGGUUAUCAGAAAAUAGCACAAUGUGGUUAUCAUUGAAACCCAUUUCAGACAAUAAACCAUUCAACCAUAUUCCUUCUUUAACAACAUCAGUUGCAGCUAUAUAUUUUGCCUCAGUUGAGGACAAAGCCACAACUUUCUGGAGUUGAUAUUUUCAACUGAUAGCAGUACCACACAGUGUAUAAAAAUAAGAUGAGGUUGACUUUCUAUUAUUUCUAUUGCCAGCAAAAUCGGAAUCAGUAUACCCUUUUAAACUUAUUUCAUUUUUAUCUGAUUUAAACAUUAAGCCUAAAUGUAAUGAUCCCUUAAGAUAUCUCAAUAACCAUUUUAAGGCAUACCAAUGUUCUUCACCAGGGUUACUCAUAAACCUACUUAAAAUGCUAAUAUUAUAUGCAAAAUUAGGUCUGGUGCAUAUCAUCAAAAACAUCACAGAGCCAAUUACAUUAGCAUAUGAAAUUUUUGACAUUCUGGCAUAUUCAUCUUCAGAUUUAGGACAAAAUUCAGAAGACAAUCUAAAAUGACUAACAAGCGGCAGUGUUACAGGCUUACAAUCAUGCAUGUUGAAUUUUUUCAAGAUUUUAAACACAUAGUCACAUUGAUUUAAAAACAACAUAUUUUUAUCCUUGUUUCUCCAAAUAUGUACGCCCAAUAUUCUUCUAGCAGCACCAAGGUCUUUCAUAUCAAACUCGGAACUUAACUUUGAUUUAAUGUCAUCAAUUUUUGAUUUAUCAGAACUAGCCAACAACAUAUCAUCCACAUAGAGAAUCAGAUAUAAUGAGUUUUUAACUCCGCUACCUUUGCAGUACAAGCAAGUAUCAUAUUGGCUUCUUUUAAAUCCAACUUUCAAGACAAAAGUGUCAAAUCUUUUGUACCACUGCCUAGGUGUCUGCUUUAGGGCAUACAAGGAUUUCUUUAACAAACAGUGUUUUCAGGAUCACCUUUCUCAAAAUCAAUUGAUUAUCUCAUGUAUAUUAUUUCAUCUAAUUCCCCAUAAAGGAAAGCAGUUUUAACAUCUAGUUGAUCAAGUUCCCAUUUAAAUUGUGUAACAAGUGCAAGUAGACAUCUGAUAGUAACAUACUUAGCAACAGGAGAAAAAAUUUCAGUGUAGUCCACACAUUCUUUUUGUGUGAAACCAUUUGCUACAAGUCUGGCUUUAUAUCUAAUAUUGUUAUCAUCACCUUCUCCAGAUUUUAUCUUAUAAAUCCACUUGUAAUCAAUCAAUCCACUUUCUAAGAAUUUGUAUACGUCCUUGACCCAUAAUUAUGUUAAACUCAUUGUCAUCUAACAUUCCUAAGGUCACUAAGUUCCUUUUCAAAUUUGGGACAUGUCUUGUGUUCUCUAGGAACAAAAUAUUACCAUUUUCUAAUAAUAAUUUGACAGUCCCAAUUCCACUCACUUUACAUGCAAAGUUGUUGCCCAUUAUAACCUGUCCCCCUUUGAUUCUUUAUAAGUUUAUAAAACAAUUUUUAUUGGGACACAUAUGAAAAGAACAUCCUGAGUCAAGUAUUCAUUCAUCAGUUAGGCAUUUUUUAGCACUUACUAACACAAAACCAUUUUUGUUUUAGUUUUGUCAUAGGCCAGUGCAUUGCUUCUAUCAAGACCUUUUUUUUGAAUCAUUUUUCUUUUUAAAACAAUCUUUUGCAAAAUGACUAAGUUUACCACAAUCAUAACAUUAUUUACCUUUUGCAUUACUCUUGGUCUUACUUCUGUCAACCCAUCUCCGAUUUGUUUUUGAAAACUUAAAAUUUUGUGUAGGUUUUUCAAAAGAUUUUCCUUUAGUUAAAAAACUAGUUCCAGUGUGACUGUUACUUAACUCAGCCUUGAUUUCUAAAGCUUUAUUCCUCAAAGCAUUGGUUAUAUCAUCAACAGUGAGUUCAUCACUACCAUAUUCAAGGGCAACUUUAAUAUCCUUGUACUUGUCACUUAUGGAGUUUAACAAAACUACAGUCAAUUGAUCUUUUGAAAGUUUUUCAUUACAAUUGGUCAAGUCUUGGGUAUGUUUUGUGAACCUACUAAGGUUCUCUUCUAAGUCAACUACAGGAUCCAUUUUAAAGGAUAAGAAUUGUUUUAAAAGAAAACAUUAGUUUGGAGUGGUUUUGGUCUCAAACUUAGCCUUAAGUUUGGCCCAAAGAUCAGAGGCAGUAGUAGUUUCACCUACCUCUAUGAUCACAUUAUCAGACAAAUACAGAAAUAUAGUACUCCAAGCAAUUUCCUCAAGUUCAAAUUUUUUAUUAGGAGCUAAGCCCUCAGGCCAUGAAUCAUCUAAAGACUUGGCACAUUUCAUUAGCAUCAAAAUUGCUCUCAUUUUCUGACUCCACAUAUCAAAAUCAAUUUUACCAACAAACUGACUAACUUCAAUUUAGCAGUAGCCAUAGUGCAGACAAAUUUUCAUGUAAAGAUCAAUUUGGACUUACAGUAGUUUAAACGGGGGAGUCAAGAAAUGCCAAUUUGUAUCAAGUUUGAAGUACAGUAUAACACAUAGUAAUACAAAGUUUCACAAUUCUCGCAAUAUUGGAAGAAAACAAGCAAGAUCAAUUAACAGACAACAAUCACAGAGAUUGAAUACAAGGUUUCACAGUUCUCUCCAGCAAGAUUCUCCAAGUGCACACCCGUACUUGAUUUAUCUCAUAUUUCAGGGGCCUCGCAGGAGUCACUGGACAAAGAUUAGUCUCAAGGGGGUUUCAACGGUGCAUCAAAAAAUCAAGGGAAAAUUUAGGACACUCAAGUUUUUGAAAGUUAAUUUACGAAAAAUUAAAAAAGAUCUCACCUAGCGAGUUGAAUAACUCGUAUUGUUCUCAAUCUGCGUUUUCAGCAGUUCCAAAAAUUCAAGACCGUUGCAGGUCCACCAGUUUCUCUAAGAUCCAGGUGUCUUGUUCCUUUGGACGGGGCUCUGAUACCACUGUAAAGGCAGGACCACACGAUAUUCAAAUCAAGAAAUAAGAAAACCUCAAUCGAAGAGAAAUAAAUUGCAGAAAAUUAAAGGAACACAAAGGAAUUAUUUCGGCCUAAGCUCCGGAGGUUCGGCAACCACAUCUAACGCCUACAUUCCCUGUUGAGCAUUCAAAGAUUUGGAUUAUGCUUGGUUGCACUAAACAGCCAAAAAUGACAACAGAUUUACAGAUUAUUCAGAGAGAUGAAAAUGAGACUUAUCUCUCAAGUGUAGCAAUGGAUUUACAGAGAUUCACUCAAAUCUCAGCCCACAAAACCUUCGAACACCACCAAAAUGAUACAACAGAGAAAUCACUCAGAUUUCUUCACCAUUCACACAGAAUACAACAAUAGAAGGAAGAUCUCACUAUACUCUAUGUAAAAUCAGAGAUUUUACACAUGAAACACUCAAAGAGAAUUAACAUCUCUCAAAUCGCCAAUAUUUUUCUCUCUAAAAACCAUAGAGUUGAUAGCAAAAUGAAGGGAUGUGUCUGACGUUCCAGAAGGCUCCAUCGUUUUAACAAAGGGCAUAUGAACCGGUUUAAUCCAACGUCCAGAGAUAGUCCACGUUUUGGCCAUCCAGUAAAAUGUCAACACUUAUUAAAUCGUGUUUGAUAAAAACACGAUUUUAUCACAAAUCAAAUUCUGGAAGCAUUAAAUCAAGGAGAAUAGGGUUCGACUCCAACAUUUAAAGUUGUUAAAUUUUAACUGCAAAACUUCAAAUCAUAAAUAUAGCAUGACGCCAUUUUCAACGCUGUAUCAAAUUUUGCACCAAAUUAAAAUUCAUCUACAAUCAUUAUAGCAAAAUUUACACCAAAUGAACAAUAUUUAACCAUUUUCUUUCCCCUUUUUUAUUCUUUAUAAUUUAUUUAUUUGAAAUAUUAUUUAUUUAAUUAUUUUAUAAUUACAUGAAUUACUAAAUAAAUACUAAUGUUAUAUUACGGAAAAGAUUAAUUUCAUUAAUAAAUAUAAAAAAACAUAGUAUAAUUAAUAAAAACAUUAAAACACGAAAAAAUUAUAUCAUGCCAUCAAAAAAUAGUAGAUUAUCAUAUGUAUAUCGUUGUUUACUAAACUAUGCAUUUUUUUUUAUGUAUCAUUUUCUUUAAAUAAAAUUAGAUUAUCAAAUGUACGUCGUUGUUUAAUAUAUUUCGUGUUAACUGUAAUAAAUAAUUGUGUUUUUUAUGUUUUAAAUUUUCUUCUUCUUUUAAUUAAUUCAUUAAUUAUUAUUCCUUAUAUUUAAUGCAAAUAGUAAUAAUAAUAAUUUAUUGUACUAAAAAAUAUAUAGCACAAAUGACACAAAUACAUUUAAUCAAUUUAUUUGGAAAAGAAUAAGAUAGGGCAAAAAAGACUUUGACCACUUUGCACCAUUUUGCACCAAAAUGGUGCAAAGUAUAGUGUUCCAUUGAAGCUCAUUUGCACCAAAAAAUGGUGCAUUUUGGUGUUUUGGCGUUGAAGAUGGUAUGAGACAAACAAAUUGUAACAUCUGAACAUAAUUGGAAAUUCUUAGUGCUCCAAAUAACAAGAAGUCAAGAAUUAUGAUCUUCUAAUGGAAAAUUAUGCACUGGUACUUGUAGCAGCCCUUAACGUGAGCCUAGCGUUUUCAAGAUAUUUAAUGAAAUCAUCAAUGUAGCUAUCGUGUAAUUUCUUGUUCCCAAAUAUUUCACUCAUUUCUUUUGCUUUGUCUCGAAAUUUCUUCCCCUCAUUUUCAACCAUUACCAACUUUAUCGAGUCGGACACAGUGUUCUUCGUAUAUGAUCCGUCUUCUUCGUUUUUCGGGACUUCUAUGCCAACCUGCUUGUCAGCAAUGAUUCUAGCAUUCAAACCUUGAUCAACCAGAAAAGGUAAGGCAAUUAAUGGAUGACCAAAAGAGAGACCCUCUAUAAAAGAACUCCAACCACAGUGAGUCAAGAAAGCACCCACCGAGUCAUGACUCAAUAUCUUCAGCUGAGGUGCCCAACUUUUCCACACCAUACCCCGACCCUUAACUCUCUCCUCGAACCCGUCUGGUAAAAUCACCGAGUAGGAACCGUCCGACCCAGAUGGCUUCCUCAGUGCCCAAAAGAAGGGAACAUCCGAUAACUCCAAUCCAAGAGCUAACUCAUAGAUUUGAUCUUGACUCGGAGUCACCUCGCUCCCUAAUGCUACGUAAACAACUGACUGUAUAUUUUGAUCAUCAAGCCAAGUUUUGAUUGCAACCCAUGAUUGACUGUCAUCUUCUUCCACUUGGGGUGGCAUUAAACCUACUGGAAUAACUGGCUUAUGGUGAAGCUCUUCAAGUAAUUUCAACCAAUCCGGUUCAAACUCGUUGCAGUGUCUUAUGAAUAUAACCUCGGACCCAUGAAUUACGUUACCUCCUCGAUAAAUAUCUGAAACUCCUGAGUCAUUCUUUUGAUUUGAUGCGACGAUCCAGUUUGCUUCGGAUCUUCGAUAAGCCACUUUUGUCUCAAAUCGGACCCACUUUGGUGGAAUCAUAAACUCUUCAGCUUUUUUCCUUUCAUCAGACCCGUUAAUCAAGAUCUCAGAUGGCCCAAAGAAAGCUAAAAACCAUGCGUUCAUUAUCAUAAAAAAGGCACGAGAAAUUUCAAGUCUUGCUGCAACUGGAGGCAACCAGUGUGGAGCAAAAUCGUAGAGAACCCAAUCUGGAAGUGAGUUUUCCAAGAAACGAGUCAACUCAGUUUCCAUCCCAUCAAAUGCUUUCUUCAAAUAGGGUAUAUCUUCAUUCCUGAUAUCCAUGGUUGCCGCUGCAGAUUCAGGGAGUCCUUCAACUUUAGGCAGAGGAAUCUUAACUAGGGUUAUGGAAGAAACUAAAUGAGAAGGGAUUUUUGGGAGACGAUCAAUAUUUCUUGGAGUGGAAACAAAUGAGAUUUUGUGACCCUUUUGAGCUAUGAAUUUAGAGAGCUCAAGGAAUGGAAUAAUAUGACCAAAAGCUAACCAUGGGAACAUCACUACAUGUAAUUUGGAAUUGUUAGCCAUGGAUAUUAGAUUCCAGUUUUGCAGAAAUUUUCACUGGCCUAUCACCCAAUUUAUCGAGGGACAUCUAAGCAGACCACGCGUAUUAUUAUAUUAUUAUUAUAUAUUUCAGGAAUAAACAGGAGAAUCAUUGGUUUUGUGAUUUGAUUGAUUUAUGAAUUUAGCCGCCGUUUAGAGAUCAUUUUACCCAAAAUCUCAUUAAUCUAAAGUGAAAAACUAAUUAAAAAAUGCAAAAGUUGAAGUUACUUUGUCAGACAUUAAUUUGCAUUUAUUGGACAAUUGGAAAUCGAUUGGAUGCAUUUGCCUAUAAUAACAUGUCAAGGGCAAAUUUGGACAAUGAAGUGAAUUAUAUGAAACACUUGGUCGAAAAAUCGAAAAAUGGUUAAGUCGAAAAAUGGUAGGCUUGGUAGCUGUCUUGAUCCAAAUGAUGCAACAAUUUCAUUUGUUUUUCGUUUAAAUGAUGAGAGAGAUGACGUUGACACUUGAUAAUGAUUCCAUUCCAUUAAAAGAAAAAAUGUGAUUGUUGCAGUCAUUUGAGCCCACACCUGAAAGAAGAGGCCAACAAUUGCAGCUAGAAAUUAUUAAUAAUGGUACAAUUUUUCAUUUUUUUGCCCAAAUAAUGUGGUCCAAACAGGGGUUUAGGAUUAUUCUUCGUGUACUAGAGGUUCACAAAAUCCCUACCGAUUACUCACAGUAGAUGGGUAAAUGAUGAAAAAGAUGACGUUGACAGUUGAUAACAAUGCUUUAUAUUUAGAAUUAGUCUCGAUGUACAGAAUCACCCACAUGUUGUGAGUAGUCGAUAAAAACACCUACCAGAAAUAAUUGUUAUAUUUAUUGCUAUAAAACUUUCGAAGCAAGAGAUAUUGUAAAAUAUGGAGGCAAAUGGGGCAAAAGAAGUCUCGUGUUAGACCCGGCUUCUUGUAAGUAAAUGGUGUUUCAUUUUUGUACGCGUCUCAAAAUCUACAAGUGAUUAUUAGACUAUUAUUAUUUUGCAUGUUCUGGCACAUGAUAUUUAAAUUAGUUCUAAAGCUUUGUUUAACGGAGAAGGAAAGACAAAGAUAAACAGUCCCAAUUCCCCAAGUUGGGUGAACUUUGAUUAGGCCUCGGAAAAAGUCGAGGUGGGUUUGAAAAUAUAACAAGAUUCCAAAUUAAAACACAAUUAGUUGGAAUUUUGCGGGAAAUUUUGUAUUAUCUGGUAAAUGAAAAAUUAAGUCAAAUUUAAAUCACUUAAAUACGUGAAUUAUUGAAAGAGUGCGUAGAAUAUUAUGGAAUAUUUUAGAAAUUAUUUGGCUGAAAAUGUGUCUUUUUAUAUAAAAGAUUAUGAUUUUUGAUAUUAUCAUUUUUCAAGAAAUGUGUCUCUUUAAAUAUAGAGAUUAAUUCCAAUAGUUGUGUCUUUUCCAUAGAUUGUAUCUUUUGAGACAAACAUUUUUAACAUCUAUAUAUUAACCCUAUAUGUUUGGAUUUAAUUUUAAGAAUUUCAUUUCAUUCCAUAAUUCCAUAUUAUUUAUUUCAUGUCAAGUUACUUAAAAUACUUUGUAGAAAUAAUUAUGUCUUGUAUCAAAGUCAUGUUUAUGGUAGAGAGAGAAUUUCAUUCGAGUUCCUGGUCGAAGUCAUUUGGAGUGCUCCUAUGGCUUGACGUGAUCGUUUUAUCUUCGAAGAUGAUUGCUGGAAAACCGUUAGCACCGAUGCGAGACAUAUUCAUCUUAAGGACCAAGUGUCAAACACUUGCCUUGUCCAAAAAUUCAUCACUUGUAUCUUUCUUCCUUCAUUUUCUGAUUUCUCUUAAUUAUGGUUUGAUUUCAGACACUGAUUAACAUUAUUUAUAUGAUUGUUCUGCGAGGUUUGAUUCAAAUAAUAACUUGAUUUCGUUCAAGAAUCGAAAGAGAUGAAUCCAUAUUCAUACAUUCGGAUUCGAUAACUAUUAUUGUUUUGCUUUUCAAAUUCUAUUUCGAUAAGUCGAAAUUACGUUUCGAUUAUAUGCAAAUAAACAAUAUGCUUUUGUGAAUAUAAUAUGCAUAUAAUCGAUGUAUUCCCCAACACAAUUUUGGCGAGUUAUUAAAUUUGAAUUCAAUUGGUCCCUCUAUAGAAAACUUGAUAAAUGUAUUAUUAUUAUUCAGUUCAUUCAAAUAUAAAUGGACAAAUAUAUAAUUGAAUCAACAAUGACACGUCAAAUCGAGUGAAUCGAUUGAUUUAAAUCAACACAUUUUGAAAAUAAAAAAGCCAUCAGGACAGGUUCAAAACCAGGCCUAAAUACAUGGGGCGUUGCCUGAUUUUGAACCUGGCCAAAAAGCAGGAUUGUUUUGAAAAUUUACAAAAUAGAAGUGCAAAUAUUUGAACCAAUCACAUCGGGUAUGCAAGAGUCAUAUUUUUCAAUUGGAAUACCCCCAUUAUUUGAUAGAAUUGGCUCUUGUUUGAGCUCCAUUAUUUUCAUAAAAAUGUAUUUUUGAAUAGUGUAUUGAUGGAAAAUGUAUAGUUAAAUAGAUUUGCAUGUAAUAUUAUUUUAUUGAAGAAUAUAUGGUUAAAAUGAUAUUAAAACACCAUAAUGUACACGUGGCAUAACAUCUUUGCAGGGUUGGAAAAUAGUGUACGUUAUGGACAUCCUUAUGAAUACCAUAAUCUACAUGUAACAUAACCCACGAAACAUACAUCACAUACUUUUUAGAUAUUUUUCAAAAAAAAAAAUUAUAUAUAUAUAUAUGUGUGUGUGUGUGUGUGUGUGUGUAGAGAGAGAGAGAGAAGUUAUAUGAAAAACUCAUAGUUAUAUCUAUGCCCCCCUUUUUUGAAAAUAAAUAAAUAAAUCACCUUCAGACUCUGCAAUAUUUUAUCAAUUGACAAGUUACCUACUGACCUAGUGCUUUGGCUAGAUUAAUGAUCAGAUUGGACGUGAUAGCUAUUGUACCAUUGAUGCAAGAAAAGAUCAAAACGGACAUUGCACCAUUUGAUGCAAAAAAUGGUGCAAUGAACAGUGUUGUACCAUUUUGCACAAAAUGGUGUAAUAGGUAGGGGUGGGCACGGGUCGGUUCGAUUCAGUUCGGUUCUCUUUAGAACCGAACCGAACCGAACCAAACUUUUCGGGUAUCUAGUAAAUGAAACCGUCGGGUCCAAAUAUAAUUAUGGAACCGUUCAGGUUCGGUUCCAUUCGAUUCAGUUAGGUUCAGUUCGGUUCCGUUCGAUUCUGUACUAUAAUUAAAUUUUUUAACAUUUAUAACAACAUUAUAUAAAUACGACUAAUGAUAUAUUCAAUGGUUUUGGAAUGUCAGAGACUAGAAAACUACCUUGUUCAAAUGAUUGCUACGAUCAAAACUUCGGUCGGCGAAAGUCACGGCUUCGAUCGGAGGUCAUAGUGUCGGCCGACGAUUGUAUAAGUUUUGGAAUAUUAGCGAGGCUGCGAGAGUGAGUGUGAGAGUCGAGACAAUAUUAUGCACUUUAUUGUAGGUGUUUAGGGUUAUUUAGUGGAUUUGAUCUUGUUUGGCUAAGAAAUGAAACAAUAAAAUGGGUAAUUGGGCCAAAAAUUAAAAAAAUUAGAAAUGAAACAAAUUAUUGGGCCAAAAAUUUGGAUUUAGAAAUCAUUGAUUUGGUAAUUUGUUUAGAAAAAAUUAUAUUAAAAUAAUUUGAUUUACUCAAUAUAAAAAAAUAAAAAAUUAGAAAUAUUUGGUUCUUAUCCGAUUUUUCGGUUCUUGGUCUAGAACCGAGAAUCGAACCGUACCCGUCGGUUCUCAAUUCAGAUACCCGUUCGGGUAUUUAAUUUGACAAGAACCGUCGGGUUCGGUUCGGUUCGGUUAGGGUUUGAUCGGUUCGGUUCGAGAGAUUUGCCCAGCCAUAGCAAUAGGGCACCAAUUGGAGAUGGCCUUAGAAGUUAGAACUACAAAAUGUGUUGAUCUCUUUUGGCUACCACAUGUCUCAAUGCUUUUCUUUCUUUCUUUCUUUCUACUUUUCAGGUUUUGUAGACCAUUAAUUUGUUUCAUUGAGCUCCAAUGUAAUCAAAAUGGAUGUGUCAAUCAAUGAGUAUUGAUGAAAGAAGCAACUCAUUAAUUCUGAUAACUGUCAGAAGGGGCAGGAACUGCUUUGGAUAGAUCUUAAGGGCAAAGUACUCAUUCCGGGCAUGACUCGGAAGAUGCACGGAUGGGGUUUCUCUCACUUUUGGCAUAGCGGUCCCCAUGAUGCUUAGCCGGUCUUUACGGACGAUCGGCCACACUGGGAUUGAGACACAACUCAGAUGCAUGCCAAUGGGACUCUGCAAUACGUCUAUUGGAAUUGGCUCUGUAUCAAUAGAAUCUCAUCAUCCAUACAUAACGAAUUCGGAUCCUUUAUGGAAGAUGAGUAAAUUCCUAGAUCUAAGAUGUGAACAAAAUUCUACCUAUAACACCUAUGUCACUGCUUGAUCAAACCAAGCCUCCACAAUUUCAGAAUCUUUCUAGCUAAUGGCUUGUUCUAGCUUUCACGUCUGCGCAUAGAAUCAUUUUCCCUCUAUUCAAAUUUGCGUGUCGCUUGAUCAAUAAAAAUCAUCAAAAAAUGCAAUGAACAGUGUUGUACCAUUUUCCACCAAAAUGGUGCGACAUGGCACCAGUUGGAGAUGGCCUUAGAAGUAAGAAUUACAAAAUGUGUUGAUCUCUUUUGGCUACCACGUUGUUGUCUCAAUCACUUUUUUUUUCUUUCUUUCUAUUUUUUCAAGUUUUAUGGACCAUUAAUUUGUCUCAUUGAGUUCCAGUGUAUUCAAAAUGGAUGUCUCAUUCAAUGAGUAUUGAUGAAAGAAGCAAUUCAUUAAUUCCUAUAACUGCCAUAAGGGAUAGAAACUGCUUUGGAUUUAGAUCUCCAGGGCAAAGUACUCAUUUCGGGUAUGACUCGGAAGAUGCAGGAAUGGGGUUUCUCUCAUUUUUGGCAUAGCGGGCCCCAUGAUGCUUACCUGGUCUUUUCGGAUGAUCACUCACACUAGGACUGAGACACAGCCCGGAUGCACGCCAACGGGACCCUCCAAUAAGUCCAUUGGAAUUGGCUCUGUAUCAAUGGAAUCUCAUCAUCCAUACAUAACGAAUUCGACCCCUUCAUGGAAACUGAGUAAAUUCCUAGAUCUAAGAUGUGAACAAAAUUCUACCCAUAACACCUAUGUUAUGCUUGAUCAAACCAAGCCUCCGCAAUUUCAAAAUCUCCCUGGCGAAUGGCCUGUUCUAGCUUUCACGACUGCGCAUAGAAUCCUUUUUCCCCUAUUCAAAUUCAGGUGUCGCCUGAUCAAUAAAAAAGCAUCAAAUAAUGCAAUGAACAGUGUUGUACCAUUUUGCACCAAAAUGGUGCAAUAGGGCACCAAUUGAAGAUGACCUUAGAAGUUAGAGCUACAAAAUGUGUUGAUCUCUUUUAGCUACCAUGUUGUUGUCUCAAUCAUUUUUUUUAUUUCUUUUUAUUUUUUAGGUUUUAUGGACCAUUAAUUUAUCUCAUUGAGCUCCAAUGUAUUCAAAAUGGAUGUCUCAUUCAAUGAGUAUUGAUGAAAGAAUCAACUCAUUAAUUACGAUAUUGCCAGAAGGGGCAGAAACUACUUUGGAUAGAUCUCAAGGAUAAAGUACUCAUUCUGGGCAUGACUCGAAAGAUACAAGGAUGGGGUUUCUCUCGUUUUUGGCAUAGCGGGCCCCUUGAUGCUUAGCUGGUCUUUUCAGACGAUCAGCCACACUGGGACUGAGACACGACCCGAAUACACGCUAAUGGAACCCCCCAAUAAGUCUAUUGGAAUUGGCUAUGUAUCGAUGGAAUCUCAUCAUCCAUACCUAACGAAUUCGACUCCUUCAUGGAAGAUGAGUAAAUUCCUAGAACUAAGAUAUGAACAAAAUUCUACUCAUAACACCUAUGUCACUGCUUGAUCAAACCAAGCCUCUACAAUUUCAGAAUCUCCCUGGCGAAUGGCCUGUUCUAGCUUUAACGUCUGCGCAUAGAAUCCUUUUUUCCCAGUUCAAAUCCAGGUGUCGCCUGAUCAACAAAAAGCAUCAAAUGGUGCAAUGAACAUUGUUGUACCAUUUUGCACCAAAAUGGUGCAAUAGGGCACCAAUUGGAGAUGGCCUUAGAAAUUAGAACUACAAAAUGUGUUGAUCUCUUUUGGCUACCAAGUUGUUGUCUCAAUCAUUUUCUUUCUUUCUUUCUUUCUAUUUUUCAGGUUUUAUGGACCAUUAAUUUGUCUCAUGAGCUCCAAUGUAUUCAAAAUGGAUGUUUCACUCAAUGACUUAUGGCCCCAUUUUUAUGUCAUUUUCAAAGCAGCAUGCCCUUUUGGUAAUGGGUUUAGGGUACUUGUGUAAUUUUAAUUGGCCAAAGCAGGGUAUUUCUGGUAUUGACUUUUCAAUGAGCAUUUUACUUUUCCUGUUCAUCUCACAAGUAUAUUGACAAAUCUAAAAAUUUUAAUUCAUCGGCAUUGUGGGAAAAUGUUUUUUGGUCAAGUAUUCUCAUUUUAAUGAGAAUCAAAUAGGGGCAUAACUUGUGGAUACCACAUUUUUGAGAGAGAGAGAGAGAGAGAGUAAACACAAUAAUAUUCCAUUGAAUUUUCAUUGAAGUUAUAAAAUAAAAUUAUUUCUAUCUGAUUUCUUCUAGAUGGUUCAUAUAAUGAAGAUGAAAAUUCACUAAAUUAUCAUUAAUGAAUCUAUCUUUAAAAUCAAUCUAAUCAAAAACGAUUUUCAAAAUGUCUUUAUGGGAGCAACCUGGGCAAUAAAGCGGAUGGGGCCUAUGGGAGAAAAGAGAGCCAUAAAGUCUAAGAAACUGAAAUGGAAUUAACUAUAGAGAACAACUUACCAUCUGUCCUUGCUUUACAUUUUUUUUAAUCUCCACAAUAAGUUUCUUUUCUUGUGCCUGUAAAAAGUCAUUUUCCUUCCAGUUUCUUAGAUGGGUUUAUCAAGCAUCCUCUUCUUUUACCAAAGCUCUGAAAAACAUAGUGUAGAAUUUGAAAUUAGAAAGUGGCUUAACUAGAAUAUUAAUAAAAUUAAUUAUGGUACAUAGAUUAUAGAUAACACCAAUCUUACCUCAAUCCUAAUCAGGAUAUUUGGUAGCCAACACAUUUAGAAUAUGGAAAAUAUUAUAGUCACAUAAAAUGGAUCCGGUAAAAUAAUGGAGCGUUUAUUUUGAGAAUAAUUUCUAUAAAUAAUUGAUAUAGGAUCAAUUUAAUACAAAUAAACUUACAAAAAUUUCUUCAAGAUCCUAAGAAGAAUAUGCUUGAACAAUUUUUUCCUUCUCUCUUAUCUUAUACCUGGAGAUAUAAAAAUCAAAGAGGGGAAAAAUCAUAUACUAUGCAAUCAAAAAAUAGUUACUAAUCUAUUGUCAUUGUAAUCUUAUUUAGACAUAGCUAAUCUUAUAUCUCCAAUAUAGCGGUCAUUUAAUAUCAGGAUAUAACAAAAUGUUAUUAAGGCAUAGCUAUUAACAAAAGAACAAUCAUAAGUUAAUCAUAGAUAACCUCUAAACAUGAUCAACAUAUGAUAAGAGUUAUAAGAAUAAAAAUGAGCACCUAAGGCGACGUUUGCAAUGAUAGAAAGAUCGGUUCAACCGAAGAAAAAAAGACCCCCUAGGUCUUCGAAGCAAGUAUUAGAUGAAUAAAUAAGCAUGAGAAGAUCAUAGACUGAUUCAAAUAUUAUGUAUGGAGACAGAUACAAAAAUGGAACUUCUAAAGCAACUAACCUUAAAAAAUAUAAGGUUUUGAAAGUGAUUUAUGCUUUUUCCAUCCAGAAUCAACAACUUUGUCAACCAUAGGAACGUACUCAUCAUAUCGUGAUAAGUUGCCGAGCUAGAGUUUCCAUUAGCUUUAACCUGAGAAACAAGGACUUGAGAUAAUUAGAAGAGAAAGGUUGAUCCUCCACGUUAAUUUUUGUGAGGAAUUGAGAAAGUGUCAACACAUUUCUGCUGUGUUCUAUGGUUCUAUAUAUAGUGGGUCUCUCUUUACAUUGAGUUCAUAAAAUGUUGACCAACGAGACUUUUGGAAUAAAGAAGACACUGUACAUGGUAAAGUUAUCCUUUCUUAAGUAAGGAAAAUUAGUUUUAUAGGAAAGCAAUAUUUCUUACAAGAAACUGUAUGCUUAGUUAUAUUUCAUGAAGAAUUUGUACCUUAUAUCAUAAAUAAAAUGAUAGACAUUAUAAAUAAUAAUUAUCAAACAACUAAUGAACUAUUGAAUAAUGUCACUUUACUUGAUUUUUUUAGUAGCAAAAGAUUGCACAACCCGACCUAUAAAAAUUUGAAUUCCAUGUAACUGGACACCUUUUUAGGAUAUACACAGAUGCUUUUAAACCAAUCAAAGAGACGAUAUUAAGCAAUUGAUAAUUUUGCACUUGUGUUGCAAUUAAGCAAACACUAACUGACCUACAAGCACCAAAUUAAAUAUUUGCACAAGCUACCACUAGACUCAACAUUAAAUAAGGGAGAAUUCAAUUAAAAUUAUAAAAAACAUUAUUUUCAAUAGCAGAUAAUUAAAUAUCUAAUCUUGAAAUUGUAAGGCUUGACCAUACCUCCUCACGAACAUGAGUCAAUCAAAGGUGCGAGUAACUCUGAAUAGCUUUUGGUGAAGAAAUAUUUUUCAGCUUCAGAACCAGAUUCAACAGUUGAGGUGUCACUGCCUUUACCUGCUUCAACAACUAAAUAAAAAAAAAAUCUCACAUAAAACAGAAAUAUUGUGCAGUUGUGCCUAAUCAUAUGCACAACAGACAUAGUCUAUACAAUCAAGUAGUGUUGCUCAGCAUAAACUAUCUCUUUGUCGUCGUUAAGAAUUUCAACCACCUUCCUGCCAGUCGUGCUUCACCAUCAAGCACCAUCUGUAACAUGAUUUCGAGCCAUUUAUUAUUUUUUAACAUGAUCAAAAUUAUAACACAAGUAUUUAUAUAUGAUCUUUGUAGGUCAAUUUAAUAGCUCCCAUGUUAGGAAUGACCUUUUGUAUCUCGGAAUUUUUGCAUGGUCCUCUAUCUGACCGAAGGCAAACCCCUUGGCCUUUCCACCAAAGAAUUCUGAUCACUACACAACCCCAAAAAUUUACGUCAAAAUCUCGAAAUAAAUUUCAAUGUUCGCAAGUUACAACAACGGUUUCCAUUGUUUUGCACUUGAUAUCUUUUAUUUUAAGCAACUUAUUCCUAUAUUUGUUUCCAAGUACAUGUGAGAUAUUCCAAAAAGAAGAUAGACCGAGUAAUUAAAGUCGGCCAUUUAAGUGAGAAAAAAUAAUGCUUACAUAUGGAAAAAGGAAGAAAUAGCAACAUACAUGUAUCUUAGUGGUGGCCCUGAGAUCAAAAAAACUCUUUACAAUAUUCUACGGUAGCAUAAUACUUCGACCAUCUUGAUGAUAAAUAUUUUAUGAAAUGUCUGCAACAUUUGGAGGAUACAAUAUAUUACACUACCAAGACUACACAAAACCUAAUAUCUUUGAUCAAAUAAAUGAUCAAAAUGUUACUUCAGGAUAAUUAUCGACAAAAGUUCAAAUAGUUGCGUACUUUUCCAACUAUAUACUAAAAUGUUUACAAGAAAUAUAAAAAUAACUUAUCUGGAAAGACUAUUAAAUGCAAUCCCUCAAACCUUAACUACCGACUACAAUAUAGGAAAAAUUAUAAAGUAAUGCAGCAAAAUCAUAAAUUGUCCUACUAAAGGAGGAAGGGGUGACUAGUUACCUCCAUAGUAAUGAGGACAAAAUCAGGACGUCUACAUGUUAAACCAGGAUACAGUUUAUAUUUCCAUCCGUACAUGCGAACAUUUGACUAAAAGUGGCAAAAGUGUUGUAAAAUAACCUCAACAUCAUAUGAUAAUCAUCAAACUUGUUUGACAAUUAGCAUCAAGGCUCGUCGAAAUGCCUUAAUAGCUUGCAGCUCAUCAACAUCCCAAAUAUCCUCAAAUGAAACAAAGUUGCCACUAACACCACUCUUACUUUUGCCGCUCUUCUUGAGUGAAUGCUUGACUUUGAAGGCACGUUCAUCGCUUUCAUUUUUAAAUAAUCAAUUCUCAUCCUUCUUUCAUUUUAAGAAUUCCCAAAAUCAGAUUUUCUUUCUCUUCUCUCAUCAUUGCCACACGAUUUCUCAAAGCUUGUCCCAUGAAAAAAACUCCAACUAUGAGAAAAAUAAUUUUGACAUAGAAAUUUAUAGCAUGAUUCGUACUAUACUCCAGCUUGCUUAGGGAUUAACUAUUUUAUUUAUGCUUGAGAUUUUAUUCUAUGUGCUAAAUUGGAUUGGAAGAGAAACAUAAUUGUCACAUAAUAUAAGCGUACUCCAAAAACACAAGACUAACUGUUAAGAACCUUCAUUAAAUGCUUUCUUCGAGUUUUUGUACUUAUAAUUAACUUCUAUUUAAUAAGAGCUGGCAUUCUUUUUUAAAUUGUCUAUAGGUAUGUACUCAAAAAUGGUUGUGUUGUUAUCCUCGUAGACAUCGGGGCUAACUUGAAAUAACAUGCAUUCUAAUCCGUUAGAUUAAUGCAACAAAUUAUGAUCGACCAAGUAAUUUGGAGAAAAAUUUACCUACCAACCAGCUUUAAUGCUAUUGAGAUCUUUACCAAAUGAACCACCCAGUAACCAAAUUUGGGACAAAUUGAACUCGUUAUGAUGGUGCUAUAUUUUAGGUUCCCAAACAUUAAUAGUUGCUUUUUGCCCCGUAGUACUUGUCUCCUUCAAUAUAGGCUAUUGCGUGCAAGUGAAACCCCAAAAUUAACCAAAUGCAUUAAGAAAUGAUAUUCAAUCAGUUAAAAUAGAAAAGAAAGGAAAAAAACAAAUAAAGGAUGAAGAUCUACUUUUGUUUGAGCAAUUGAAUUUAGGCAAGAACGAAUUAAUCGCAAUAUCAUAUGGAUUUCAGUAGUGAUGAGGAGUUGGAAUAUCACAUAUUGAUCAAUAAAGGAGAUUCAUCAACUUAGAAGAAAAAUAUAUUCUUUCACAUCCUUUUUUUCCUUAUCUGGAAGGAACAAAUAUAGAAUUAGUCCAAGUUGUUAAAUGCUUUUUUCAAAGAAUAAACAUCUAAACAAAGGUAAAAGAGUUACCUCAAAAAAUCAGAAUAUGGAAUUCCCAAAACUAAAGAACUAUUUAAGCUAUUUAUGAGAUGCCCAGAUAUCAUAUAUACUCAAAACCUGCAAAUUUAAGCAAAGAAAUAUGUCGACUAAACUUAGAAAGUAAGAUUAGAAAGAAGGAAAAUAGAGAACCCAAAACAAAAACUUAUCCAACACCAGGUAUCGCGCCGAAACCUUAUUCGUCAUGUCUUCGUCUUUGUCGUCCUCGUCGUUGAAGUCUAUCGGAGUUAAUGGCUGCCUACGAUUCUUUGGAGAGAUUAGGAAGGUAUAAAUGGUCUUACAAGAGGUACAAAAGACAUAUAUAUAAUAUAUACCAAAUAUAUUUUGAUGAACAGGAGGGGACAAAAAUGAACAGUGCACACCACAUUUCCUCUUUUAUUAGGGGAUGUUUGUGCCCCAUUAUUUGUGAAGAAUAUAUCAUAGAACAGUAAUUGAUAUUGAAAUGUGUGGUUCAAAAAGAAGGAAAUUUUUUUAUUUACGUGUAAUAUUUUUUUAUUGAAGAAUAUGUGGUUAAAAAUGAGUAUUGUACAAAAAACAAUAUUGUAUAAUGAUAGGCAAACAAAGCCUUAAUGUGUAGAAAGGAUAAUGAUCUGAUUCAUAAUUUAAAGAUAAAAUGACGCAUAGCAUCGAACAAUUUAAGAUGAGUUGUGCCUACCAGGAGAAAUGGUGGCACAUUUAAUUACUAAAUUGAGCCAACAUUUUCAAUGUACAAAACAACUAUCAACUAAGAAGAAGAACGAAUAAAUAUUUACGAAAAUUGUAAUAGAAAACUUAAAAAUACAGAUGUUGAAAAUUUUAUCUCUACUGCAAAUAUUGUGAAGCAAAUGAGAAAAUGAAGAUAUUGAAGCCCUAUUAUUAGAAGUUCAAUAUUUAUUCAAAAUCGAGAACAUAGGAUGUCAAACUUAAAAGUAGCUUAUGCAACUUGAAUGGUUUUCUAGUCAUUAGUAACAUCCCACUGGGGAAGGCCAAGGUCAUAGUAGUUUAUAUCCAACUGCAAAAAAGGCAAGAUCAGCUGCCAGAUUCAAAAAAUAAAUUAGUUAAGCAUUUGAAAUCAGAAUGAAUUUGGAGUAGACCUGAUUUUCAAAGCUGCUUUGAUAUCCUAAUGUAGUCAGAACCUUCGAUAAUACGAAUUGAGCUUAAAUGACUAUUGAAGAGGAUAGUUAUGUUAGAUUUUAUUGAUUAGAAUCAAAUUGUCAACUAAAGUAAAUAUGUUUAAUUUAAACAAUUUAGAACCAAUAAUGAAAAAAAAUUGUAUUAAAACUAACAAUUAGCAUUAAUUACCAGGAUUGCUUGCAUCCAUUGCCUUGACAAUUUCAAAUCAUAAGUCUUGUCCAAUCUAUAAAAUUCUGAUGCAGCAACAUUAUUCCAAUGACAACUUGAGUAGAAGGAAGGAGCAAGCCUUAGAAGUUUUACUCUUUCACAAGGUGAAGACAGAAGAAAUACAAGGUGAUUAUAGAACAUUGAAUGAACUGAACACAUACGUGAAAAGAAAAGGGAAGAAGGAACUUUUGCUGUAUAACCUACUUUAGCAAUGGUUGUCUUGAUCAAUUGAAGACCUUUGUUCUCUUGAAAUUGAACAAACAUAAUACUGUAAAUGUCUAUUGUAGAAAUUGAAGGGCGAGAAAGUAAAACCACCAAAAUAAAACGUUCAACCUAAAUAUUAGGGGCAAAGCCAACCUCUUUACCAACAUUGGUAGCAUUUAAGCUACAUUUCUUCUUAAUAACAGCUUGAAGUCAAUAAAGAUGAAUAGCCAAUAAUUAGAAUUGAGAAGCAAAAGAAACUCUUUAACAAUCUCAUAAUAAAUAAUUAUCCAUUAUGUGAAAAUAAUAUUAAUUUUUAAAAGUAUGUGAAAACUACACCACAAAUUCUAAUUUCAGCUAAACAUGUGAAAUGGAUCGUCCAGGCUACUUUUGAAAGGAAUAAAUUUUAAGUAGUUCAACAGUUAUGAUACAUUAAUAAUCAGUUUACAAUAUUGGAAGUAAUAUUGAAUAAUAAUAACUUAUUUGAAAUGGAAAUUGAUCAUGAAUACUUACUAUAUCGAUCACAGGAAAAUUGGUUUUUUCACAUCUAGCUUGAAAUUAUUUAACAACUGCCUCAUACAACAACAAAAGCAAUAGUUAAUUUAGUAAUUUCAUAAUGAAUGGAUGUAACGAGCAUUUGACAAUGUAAAUGGAAACAGAUGUCGAAGAUGUCAAGCGAUACAUAAUCAGUUAUAGCAAUAUAGGCAAUAAAUAUUUUAAGGACAGAAUUUGAAAUGACAAGAAAUUGGUAAAGAACACGGCGAAGAGGAAUAAUUUAUUUUGGCAAGUAGAAUAACAUAUGGUAGUAAAUAUUAGUAAAGGAAUUACCUCUAAAUGAUGAAUCCUUGUUCAAGUAUAAAUUUUGAGUCUCUUCCAAAACGGGCAUCAUUAAAUUUAGAAAGAAAUCCCCCUAGAAGCCUACUAUAGUUUAAAGGAGCAAUUAUUUACGAAAAAUUACUUCCAAUGGAACUUUUCAUGUGAACAACUCGAAUAAAUUUAAUUUAACCAUGUAGAACAAAUCUGAGAAAAGCCCAAAACAUAUAAAACAAAUAAUAAAAUAAAUAAAAUAGAGGUAAGAAAAAAGCCGAAGAUGUACACAUGUAGAAAGAAGAGAUGGAAAAAAUGAAAUAGAAACUCGUACAGAGUUCGAAAAAACCCCAACACGAAAAUAAUUAACAAAAUGCAGAUCUAAAAAUCGAACAAAUACACAAAAGAACAAGCAAAAGAUGGAGAUGACAGAAAAUCUCAAUACAAUUUAGAAAAUCCUAAACACAAAGUAGAGAUCGAUCGAAGAGAAAUAGGAAUAUAGAAAUCAAAAAAGCAUACUCAACAAAAGGCAAGAGAUAAAGUAGGAUAAAGGUGUUACAGUAUACUUUCUAUGAAAAAUUUCCUCUUGUUCGUCGAAUUUGAACCAAGCGAGGGGCGAAAGAAACAAGCGAUUAACAACAAAAAGAAAGAUAUUCAAACAAUAAUAGAGAAAAAAAGAUUAAACGAUCUUCUGAGGAUUUCAAUUUCACAGUUAGAAUUGAUAUUUUUGGGGAGAGAUUUUUUAAUUUUGCAAGAGGACGAUGGAGAGUAGGGUUGGAUGAGAAAUCAUCAGAUGAAUAAAAACAACAGUGUAAAAAAAAAAAAAAAAAGUUGAACAAUACAAUUAUUACACAGCAUCCUUUAUUCUUUUUUUAGUGAAUAGUGCUGAACCAAUUCCAAACCAGCCUAAUGUGAAUGCUACGACAAAAAUGAACAAUAGAAAUGGACCCUCUCUUUUAAAGUAGGACUAGUCUUUGCUGGUGCAAUGCACGGAUUGAAUUAUUUUGAACGUAAUGUUAGUGUGUUAAAUAUAUUAGGUUAUAGUAUGUCGCCUUCAUCAUUUUCAUUGAUAGGUGAUAAAAGAAUCAUUUAUCAUACUCUAUUAACAUAUAUGUAUUGCAUUACAAUUAGAAUUGAUAGUAUGUAAUUGUCUAGCUAUUUAGAAAUAAAAUGUAUAAAUAUCAAGCCACGAGCAUUUAUAGUAUGGAAUUCAAUUCUUUCUUCCAUGUCGACUUUUUCUCUUGACACAAAGGCUCCAGUUUCAAAUGCUAGCCGAAUAUCGAACUACAUGACAAAAGUUAGUGAGAUUUGUUUUAAAAAAAAGUAUGAAGGACUCCUUAAAAUGUUAGUUGAGCUACAAUAUUUGAAAUAGUAGCAUAAAUAUUUGUCAUGACAUUUGAAAUAGUCAAUAAGGUUUGCUAUAUGGCAUUAAAAAUAGUCAUUAUGGCGCAAGAAAUGAAGAAAAAUUAACGGACCAAGUCAAGAUACUUAGCAAACAUUAAACAUGAUGUCUCCACUCACGAGAUAUUAAGACUAAUAACCCAACAGAUUUUUAACGAUUCUCUUAACUAUAGAUGUUAAACUGCAAGGUUUUACUUAGUCAAUUCACAAGAUAGAAAAAUGAUUAAAUUAAUAUCAUUUGGUACACAAGCAAAUUUCAAUUUAUAAGUUAUCUUAGAAACUCCCAACAAAAGUUUACUUACAUGGUGAAAGAACAAGAUAGAGGUAAAAUGUUGCAUUCUUCUGGUCACGCUUUAUAAAACAUUGAUAUGGACACUCCCAAGGCCCUGCUGCAAAAUAAAAGAAAGUUAGAGCAUCAGUCAGCAUAAUUUCUAAAGUUUUUAGUUAAACAUAGAUAAGGUUUAAAGAUAUCAAACAUUUUUAAACAAUAAUGAAACACGCUGAAUGCAAAUAAUAUAGAAACUAAAUAACAAUCAAUAACCACCAAAUCUUUUUUUGCCCAAAUCGCAUAUCCAAUGCUUUCAGUUAAUCAACUACUGCAGAUUGUCUUCUCACUUCAUACUGCAGUUUCCUUCUCAAGAUCUCUUCUUCGACCCUUCGAGUUUCAAUAUCUCAGAUUUUGAGAAUCAGUGUGGUAGGAUUUUCUUUGUCAUGGAGAAAUGAAAGCGAUAGAGAGUAAAAUCCACUUUUAAGGGACAUUUUGUGAAUCAGUUAAUGAAUAGUACAAACCAAGCAAGUGUGAAAACUCAAGUGACAAAAAUGAAUAGCGAUCCCAACCCCAUCUUUUAAGAGUUUUUAAUUUUUAUUUUUAUUUUUAAAUUAAAUAUUAAUAAAAAGAUUAGACUAUCUAGAAUAUAAAAAGUUACUUAUAAGUAAAAAAAUGCUUCAAGUUAUUUAAAAAUAAUAAAAAAAACUUAUAAUUGUAAAAGCUACUUAUAGGUAAAAAAAAAUAUUAAUCCCUCAUUCUCUUAUAAUUACAAAAGCUACUUAUAAGUAAAAAAAUAUUAAUUUAAUUUUUUUAAGCACAAAUAUUUAGAUAUAUUUAGUUUUUUAAAUUAAAUAUCAAUAAAAGGAUUGCACUAUCUAGAUGUAAAAGCUACUUAUAGAUAAAAAAAAAAAAUAUUAAUCCCUCAUUCUCUUAUAAUUGCAAAAGUUUUUUAUAAGUAAAAAAAUCUUAACUUAAAUUUUUUUGAGUAUAAAUAUUUAGAUAUAUUUAGUUUUUUAAAUUAAAUAUNNNNNNNNNNNNNNNNNNNNNNNNNNNNNNNNNNNNNNNNNNNNNNNNNNNAGAGGUCAUCACUUCGUGACCACUCCGUGCAAAGAGUGGUUUUUCACUCUGUGCACGGAGUUAACUUCUUUCUUUCUUCUUUAUUUAUUAUUUUCUUUUUAAUUAUAGUAAUUUUUUAUUAAUAUUUAAUUUAAAAAAUUAAAUAUAUUUAAAUAUUUACUUAAAAAUAUUAAAGUUAAUUUUUUUAAAUAUAAGUAGCUUUUACAAUUAUAAGUUUUUAUUACUUUUAAAUAACCUGAAGUGAUUUUUUUACCUAUAAGUAAUUUUUUAUAUUCUAGAUAGUGCAAUCUUUUUAUUAAUAUUUAAUAAACUAAAUAUAUCUAAUUAUUUAUACUUAAAAAAUUUGAACUUAAUAUUUUUUUACUUUUAAGUAAUUUUUACAAUUAUAAGUUCGUUUUACUUUUAAAUAACUUGAAGUGAUCUUUUUAGCUAUAAGUAAUUUUUUACAUUUUAGAAAUAAAGAAUAACUUUUAUGCAAAUAUAUUUACACUGACAGAUUUAUCAAAAUGAAAUUUGCAAAAAUAAAAAGAGAGAGAGAGAGAGAUCCGUGUCGGUCUCCGUACACGGAGACACUUUAAUAUUUUUUUUGGUUAAUUUUUUUUUUUUUUUUUGGAAAUAGGGAGACAAUUCUUUUUACUGCAACACGCAACUUUUCAUACCUCCCACCAACUCUCAUCUCUCUACUCCGUGCUGAACCACUUUUAUUAUAUAAGUAAAAAAAUCACUUUUAUAUAAAAAAUUAUUGAAAAAUAAACAUACUAAUAAUAAGACAAAAAUUAUUUCUAAAAUGUAAAAAUUACUUAUAUAAGUAAGAAAAAAAAAUCGUUUAAAGUUAUUUAAAAGUUAAAAAAAAAAAAAAGUUAUAAUCGUAAAUGCUAUUUCUAAGUAAAAAAAAUAUUAACUUAAAUUUUUAAGCAGAUAUUUAAAAAUAAAGGAAUCAUUUUAUGGCAAAAUAAAGCGACUUUUACGGCAAUUUUCCAGUGACUUUUGACCACCAAGAUUGCCGGAUUUUGAUAUCGUUGGAAAGCCCACAAUAUCCUCUUCAAUUACCAGAGUAAAUAUUUCAUAGUAGCCUCAUUAGACUGUACAUCUUUCUUGGCAUAUCCAGAUAAUAGGCAAAUGUUCCUUACCAUUAUGAAUAGCAAUUGUAUGGCUAAUCCAAAAUCUCCUCCAAACUCUAAAGGAUUCGGCCGGAAUAAACCCGCAAAAUCGACAUCCCAAAAAGGCGAAAAUCUGGGAUGUCAACUUUGUGAGUUUAUUCCGGCCGAAUUCUUUAGAGUUUUGGGGGAGAUUUUAGAUGCUAAUUAAAGAAGACAUUGUGGGUUUUCCAACGGUAUCAAAAUUUGGUUAUUUUGGUGGUCGAAAGUUGUCAAAAAAUGCCGCAAAAGUCUACCAAAAAUAUGAAAUUUUGGGCACAUUUUUGCCUUUUCGGAUAGCCAAUUUUGUGAAUUUAUUCCGGCCGAAUCAUUUAGAUUUGGGGGAGAUUUUUUGGUAUAAUUGAAGAUGAUAUUGUAGGCUUUCCAACGGUAUCAAAAUCCGGUGGUAUCGGUGGUCGAAAGUGGUCAAAAAAUUGCCGCCAAAGUAGCUCAAAAUUUUUUAAACGUCAGUGACAAUUUUUGAAAGCGUCCCAAUACUUAAGUGACCGUUACUGAAAAUUUUAAACUUCAAUGAUCGUUUUGUAAUUUUUCUGUAAGUUUAAUGACCGUUUGUGAAAUUAACCCAAUUUACUAUUGUCAAACCCGUUUCAAAUCGGUUUAAUGUGAAAAUUAGUGUGACAAAAAUACAUAGUAAACUUUAGAUUCUCUCUUUUAAGGUAAAGAGGGAUUCAUGAAGAUUGGGAUAAAAUUAUGGACUUCCCGAAUUUUAGAUACAAUAAUAAUUAUGAAAGCUUAUUUAAUUUGCGAGUUCAAAACCAGGAGCUAGAGAGAAAGGACAUUCGUUGUUAAUAAAAUAUCACGUAUAUAUAGUGUGAUUCAAAAAAUAAAAGGAACACGAGUGAACAAAUUGUUGGUCACUAAACGUUAAGCCCGGUUUAAUUUUAGACUUCAAUCUUCUACUUAUCUAGUUUAAUCGAUGAAUUUCUAUUUUCCUUUCGUUUAAGAAUCACAAGAAUAACAAGAAAGAAACCAAGAAUUUUGAGUGUUGCUACUGUGGUAUUCCUUCUUGUUUCAAAAGUUGAAUUCCAAGGAUAAUGAUAAUCAAGAACGAAGAAUUUUGUUGAUGACUCGUAAUUGCAAAUCUUCAUCUCAUAUACAAUCCGUAAGAAACAUAUGAAUCUUAUUCGAAAUUCUGAAUUCUUAAAUUAACAAGAAACAAUCAAGGAUUUUGAGAUUCUAAUGAUCCAAUCCAUAGGAAAUAACUAUGUGCUUGUUGCGACGCCUGAAAUGAUUCUCUAAUUACUUUCAAGAAAUUGAAUGAAAUUUUGUAUAUAACGAUUAUGUAAUUUUUUAUCGCCAAAUAUUUCACUCAUUUCUUUAGUUUUCUCUCGAAAUAUUUUCCCCUCAUUUUCAUCCGUUACUAAUUUUAUCGAGUUGGACACUCAGUUCUUCGUAUAUGUUCCAUCUUCGUCGUUCUUUGGGAUUUCUAUCCCAACAUGCCUGUCAGCAAUAACCCUAGCAUUCAAUCCUUGGUCCACCAGAAAGGGCAAGGCAAUUAAGGGGAGACCAAAAGCAAGUCCCUCUAUGAAAGAACUCCAACCACAGUGAGUCAAGAAUGCACCCACCGAGUCAUGACUCAGUAUCUUCAACUGAGGUGCCCAGCUCUUCCACACCAUACCCCGGCCCUGGAUCCUUUCCUCGAACCCAUCUGGUAAAACCACUGAGUAAGACUCGCCGGACCCAGAUGGCUUCCUCAGUGCCCAGAAGAAGGGCACACCAGAUAACUCCAAUCCAAGAGCCAACUCAUUGAGUUGAUCUUGACUCGGCGUCACCUCACUCCCUAAUGCUACGUAAACAACUGUCCGUUUAUUUUGAUUAUCCAGCCAAGUUUUGAUUGAAACCCAUGAUUGACUUUCAUCUUCUCCUACUCGGGGUGGCAUUAACCCUAGUGGUACCACUGGCCUGUGGUAAAGCUCUUCGAGUAAUUUUAACCAUUCAGGUCCAAACUCGUUGCAGUAUCUUGGGAUAAUAACCUCACAGCCCUCAAUUACCUUACCAACUCGAUAAGAAUCUGAAAAUCCUGAGUCGUUCUUGUGAGUUGCCCCGACAAUCCAGUUUGCUUCAUAUCGUCGAUAAGCCAUUUUAGUCUCAAAUUUGACCCACUUUGGUGGGAUCAUGAAAUCUUCAACUCCAGUCCUUUCAUCUUUGUCGUUAAUCAAGAUCUCUAACGGUCCAAAGAACGCUAAAAUCCAGGCGUUGAAGAUCAAGAAAAAGGCUCGAGAAAUCCCAAGUCUUGCUGCAACUGGAGGCAGCCAGUGUGGAGCAAAAUCGUAUAUAAUCCAGUCUGGACGCGACUCUUCCAAGAAUCGAGCCAACUCAGUUUCCAUCCCAUCAAAUGCUUUCUUCAAAUGGUCCAUAUCUUCAUUUCGGAUAUCCAUGGUUGCCUCUGCAGAUUCGUGGAGUCCUUCAACUUUAGGCAGAGGAAUCUUAACUAGGCUUAUGUAAGAAACUAAAUGAGAAGGGAUUUUUGGGAGACGAUCUAUAUUUCUUGGAGUGGAAACAAAUGAGAUUUUGUGACCCUUUUGAGCUAUGAAUUUGGAGAGCUCAAAGAAUGGAAUAA
rnacentral:lncRNA from 1 species